GUUACAUGGGUGCCCAACUGGGUAUAAUCCCAAACCCAAGGCCCAAUUGAGCUCUCUUUGGUCCACCAACAAUCCAUUAUCUUUCCCUAAGCCAUCAAAGGACAUCCACUUCUCUUCUUCAGUUACAACUUCCAUACCACCCUCUCCACUUUCUGGGACUCUCUCAAUAGAUCAAGUUCAAUAGCUCAUAAAGUAGACUUUGUUCACUUUGGAAGGAUCCUUUGUCAUGCUCAAAUCUUAUUAUUCACAUGCAUUGUUUGACUAAGAUCGUUAUAAUUGUUUCCCAAAGUGAGUCAAUUCCAAAUAUUGAAUAAUUGGUUAAGCAUAGCUCUUACACACAUUCCAAGAUUUAUGCUCUUAAAUGUAUGUGACAUUUGGAAAUACCCCCAAAGUGGAUACAAAAGCAACCAUGAAUGAAAAAAAUCAUAGUGUACAAUGGCUCUAUUUUCAAAAGAAAAAUAAAUAAAUAUUGAUCAUAGUGUACAAUGGCACUACUUUCAAAAGAAAAAGAAAAUAGAAAGAAAUAUGAUAUCAAAUUAAGGGAAAGUCAAGUUGUGUUGUAUAUAGAUCAACAAGACCUUGUUAAACAGAAAUCCAACAAUCUUAAAUCAAAUUAAUUAGAUGUGUACUUUAAUUAGAACAAAGGCAUGACUGGAUCUCUUCUAAGUGAUCAAUUUUGAAAUAUAGAACUAGACAAUAAGUCGUAUUCCCUUGAACAUUAAUACUUAUGUUUCUAUGUUGGUCCUCUUAUCCACUAAUGGUUAUGCAUUGGGUCUCAAAACUAAAAUUACAAUUAACUUUGACCUUUAGACUUGAAACCUCAUUCUUCAUGGAUUGAUGUACAAGAUCUAAAGUAACUCACUUGUUUUGUAAUUGAUUGAAGUAACUCCUACAGGAUAUUUAAAGCCAUCUAGUACACCAUUUCUUAUUUCUCACUUUUCUGAGUUGUUUCAAGCACUCCAAGUUCUUGGUUCUUUGUCAUUUGAGGUUAAUUCUCUUAGUUUUUCGCAUUUUUUUCAUAUAGUAUUGCUUUACACCUCAUUUUUAGUAUUCCUAGUUGUUUAGGGGUUUUUUUUUUGGAUUUUUAUCAGUUUUUCUUACUUUUAGUGUCCUUUUAUAUUUCACCACCUUGUUAUGGCAAGUCGUCAUCAUCCGCAUGAGGUGACCCCUCCAAGGUCACCUGAGCCCGUUUAGAGCAUUGCGCUCCAAGGUCCUUUUGGCCUAAGAGCUCUUCUUGUUGAGUGCUUCCAUUGUUAGGAGGCAUGAGACCGAUACUGCACCUCUUUCCAUAAUUGACGAGUUGAGGUUGAGCAUCCGGUCAAUCUCAAAGUCUUGUAGGAGACUUCUUUUCUUAUUGUUGUUAGAGAUUGAGAAUAAAAGAUGUUACUCUCUCUUUAGGGGACUUUCUACCCCCAUCUUAUUUGCAUUUUCUAUCUGUUGUAAUUGGAGUUACCUUUCAGGUGAUUUUGUAUGAUCAGUCAUUUCUUGUCUCUUCCUGUUCCAUCCAACGUGUGAUUCGUGCCUAGCUGGUGUAUGCCCUGUUGAUUGGUGUUCAAUCAACUGGUGUACUCUGAUUUCAGUCCUCAGACGGGAGUAAUCAACAAAAUUUAUAAACCUAUUUCACCAUAUACUAGGGUAGCAUUAGCUAGCAUAGCAUAAUGGCUCUAGGAUCGUCCACAAGGAUGAGUUUUCAAAUUACAACUGAUAUUAGUUCAAAAACUGAAUUGGUGUUUUUUCUUUUCAAGGUUAACUUUAAAAGAAAACAUAAGUAUGUUUGAAAAUGUUGGUUUUAAGUGAAACCAAAAAUAAAGUAAAUGAAAUUACUUACAAAGAAAAGUGCUUCUUGGAGUUUUAGAUCACUAGGCUCAGGUUUCUUAUACAAAAGGGAGAUUCCGGUCACUUGGAUCUUUUCCUUGCAUUGGGGAUUUAACAUAUAGUUAUUUCCCGAACCGGUGUGGUAUAGAUGCUUCCUCUUAAUGGGUUCAAGCACUAAAUCCCUGUCACUGAAUCAUCUUGCAAUGGUUCAUACCUCUCACAUAGUAUUGGCCAUUCAAGGUGAUCCUUAACCUUGGAUUACCCGUCAAAAACUCGCAAGAGAUAACUAAUGGAUGUCUCCUGGGAGUCCAAAAUCUUACCAAGUGUUGGCUAUUCUAGAUAAUCCUACCUUUAAACCACCUUCCCGAGGCUCGUAAGAGAUAAACUAGUGGAUCUCAAUGGACAGAGACCACUUGCCUUACCAAGUGUUGGCCUAGGUGAUUUUAAGGGAUUUUAAGUUAACUAAAAAGAUAAAAACCAUUAACAGGUCACACUUUCUCUUCAUUAAAAACUGAAACAACAAAAUUUCCAUUUUUGUAUUUGGAACCUUACCUAGCUUCGUUCACUCCAAGACACAAAAAGCCUAGCCACUCAUCCUCUAGGAAAACAUCCUCAGAGUUUGAUUUGUUAGAAAUAAAAAUAAAAGAGAAAACAAAAUGAGAAGGUAAGGUAGAGCAGAGCUCUAUGUAUUACUUUCAGAAAAACUAUACAAAAGUUCGUCUCUGAGAAAAACUCCUUAGAGAUCUCUUUUAAAAGAAUAUUACAAUCGAUAUUAUAUAGAGAGGCUAUUCACCCCUCCUGCUAACUUCCCAACCAAGAAAACUUGUCAUUGGUGGGUUAUAAGGAGAAAAUAGGGAUUUACACACAAAUAUCUGAAGAUAAAUAUCAAACGGAGUUGAUUCGUUCCCAAUUGGUGUCUCAGCUGAUUCAUGUCCUCUCAAUGGUCCCUGACAGUGGUGCCAUUUGAUACGUGUCCAGCUGGUGUUCCUUGAUUGUGGUCCUCAGAAGGGAGUAAUCAACAAAAUUUAUAACCUAUUACACCAUGUACUAGGAUAGCCUUAGCUAGCAUAGCAUAGUGGCUCUAGGGUCGUUCACUGGGAUGGGUUUUCACUUCACAAUUGAUAUUAAUUCAAAGCUGAAUUGGUGCCUUUUCAUUUCAAGGUUAGCUUUAAAAGAAAACAUAAUCUUUAGUGGAAAAAGGAUUGGUUUUAAGCUAACCAAAAAUAAUAGUAACUGGUUUUAAUUACAAAGAAAAGUGUUUCUUGGAGUUUAGAUCACUAGGCUCAGGUUCCUUAUACAAAAAGAGAGUUCCGGUCACUUGUUCCUUUUCCUCGCAUUAGAGAAUUAACAUAUAGUUAAUUCUCUAAUCGGUGUGGUACAGAUGCUUCCCUUUAAUGGGUUCAAACACUAAAUCCCUCUCACUGAUGCAUCUUGCAAUGGCUCAUACCUCUCACCUAGCACUUGCCAUUCAAGGUGAUCUUUAACCUUGGAUUACCCAUCAAAAGCUCGCAAGAGAUAACUAUCUCCUUGGAGUCCAAAAGCUUACCAAGUGUUGGCUAUUCUAGAAAAUCCUACCUUCAAACCACCUCCCAAAAGCUCGCAAGAGAUAAACUAGUGCAUCUCCAUGGAUGGAGAUCACUUGCCUUACCAAGUGUUGGCUCAGGUGAAUUGAAGGCGUUUUAAGUUAACUAAAAAGAUAAAAACCAUUAACGAAUCACACUUUCUCUUCAUUAAAAACUAAAACAACAAAACUUCCAAUUUUGUAUUCGGAAACUUACCCGGAUUUCUUCACUCUAAGAGAUGAAGAGCCUAGCCUCUCAUCCUCUGAGAAAAUAUCCUCAAAGUUUGAUUGGCUACAAAUAAAAAUAACGAGAAAACAAAAAUAUGAAGGAAAAACAGAGCAAGUGCUCUGUAAAAUAUAUUUCUUCCUUUAGCCGAUUACAUGAUUAUCUUUUGUAAAGAAAAUUACAAACUAUAUAUAAGAGGUUAUUCAUCCUUUGUUCUUACUUAAAGACUAAGGAAUCCUAUGAUAGGUGGGUUACAAGGAGAGUUUGGGGAUUUAGACAUCAAAUAUCUAAAGCAAAAUAUCUCAAAAUGUCGGUCGCAAAUAUCAGGAAGCUUCAGGAGAACACCGCAGCCGUGCGUACAAGAGGGCUGCAAAAUUUCGCAGCAAAAGGACAUCAUUUUCGCAGCCUAAGGCUGAUUUCGUAGCCGUGCAAAAUCUGCCUUCAGCUUGGAGUGAUCGGCUUCCAAUGGCUGUAACUCCUUCAUUUCAACUCCGAAUUGUACACCGUUUGAAGCAUUGGAUUGUUGACUUCCUGAGCUUCGAAAAGACAUAUAGAAUGCAUAAAUUGAACUCUAGGAAGUGCUCCAAAAGUGGCUUACAUGACUGUCAUCUAGAAUGCUUCAUGUUAGAUUUCUCUUUGCUUCCCCUCCUUGCAUUCUGGAUUUUCUUAUGGCAAAGGACUUCAAAGCUUUGGUUCUUCAUGUUUCUGAGCUUUCCAUUGCUUUUCCAUGGAUUCCAAAGAACUGUCCUCAAUCUUGGAUUGCUUUAGUGAUCAAUUUACUAACAAAAACACCAAAACUUACACGAUUUGAUUAGAAAUGAUUGCAAAGGUCCUUAAUAUGUUAAUUGGGUUAAAAGGUAAUAACUAAUACUCAAAAGUGUUUAAAAGAGUUAAUUACAAGCUAUAAAAUAGCACUUUUUGAGUAGUAAUCAGGAGUCGAUGCGCAAAUAUCUCAAAUUAUAGGUGGAUUUCGCAAGUUCAAAUGCAACUUGUGAAAAUUUUACAAGUUGAAAUUGUCCAUUUAGCAAGUUAGUUAUCCUGCAACUUAUCAGCUCUCUGUCUUGCAACAAUUCUUUUCCUCUUCCUAUUUCGUAAGUUGCGAAAAUUUCGUAAGUUGGAUUCCACAACUUGCGAAAUUGCUGGAUGGUUGAUUUCUUCUGUGAUUUUCUUUCUUGCAUCCUCGUUUGGCUUUGGCAAAGGGUUAUGAAGCUCCAAAGCUUAGUUUCUUCAUGAAUUUGACCUUUGACUUUCUUUGCCAUGAACUAUACAAAGAUCUCCCUCAUUCUUGGAUUGGUUUGGUGAUCAAAAGCUAUCAAAAACACCAAAACUUAACACAAUGUGAUUAGAAAUGAUUGCAAGGGUUCUUAACAUGCCAAUUGAGUUAAAAGGUAAUAACUACUACUCAAAAGUGUUUAAAAGAGUUAAUUACAAGCUAUAAAAUAGCACUUUUUGAGUAGUAAUCAAUUUGUCCUUGGCAUGCCGCAACUUGAGUCUUGCUUUAGGCAGAAGCUAUUCUCCAAGCCAACAUGGUUGCUAGCUACUUCUACCAUUCUACUCAUCGUACCCAGAUCUGUCAGUCGUCUACUCAAUUCAUUCAUGCCAUACUAAUUCGAUAUCAACCAAGUGAUUUUGGAUAGCAUUACUCCUUCCCGUGAUCCAUCUUUUUGAGGAGGCACCCUUCCUUUUAACCUUCUCAUCUCGUAGAUUUUAGAGGAUGUAGGUUUUGGGAUAAACCCUGCUUUAGGGGUCCAAGCUAACCAUGCCCUCUUAGAUGGGAGCUCCUAGGCUAAGCAUUACAACCACAUUUAUGGACCGAUGGCACCUCUAACCCAUCAUGGUCCUGAAAAUGUGACUCAACAAGCAGCUUAGGAGGCAACAACAGAUGAGAAUGAACUCCUAGCUAUGAAGCAAGGUGUAGUUCCUAAGGUAAAUUAUCUCAAGCCUUUUUAAGAACUUGUUCUAGUUGAGGUCAUGCAAGUUCUUCAUGAGCAAUGUUUGAAAUGCCACAAAAUAUCAAGGAUAUUUCAACAAUAUUUCAGGUAUCGAUGGGGCUCGAUAGAUAAAUAGGAUGGAAAUUUUGGUUAUUAAAAUUUUCAAGUAUUUCCCUCGUUUUUCAUUGAUAUAUUGGUUGUAUGAUGAUAUAAUACCGCUAUAUCAAUUAUAUUGGCAAUUUUUUAGUGCCUUGCUUACUUUUAGGCCAAAAGGUUUCCCCAUUUUUGCCAAAAGGUUUCUUGUUUUUUCCGAAAGGUUUCUUUUAUUUAUUUUUAUUUUAGGCCACAUUCUCACACGCACGACCAUACAAUAGUCGUUCCAGAUGAGAAAGUCACCAUCUAUUAAAUAGGCAAUUUUGUUCUCUCAAGUUGUUGAUGUGGGACAACUUUUAUUGACAAGUUUAAAAAUCUAAUCACAUAGGUAAACAAAAUUUACAUUUGUGAGACUCGAACCCGAGUACACAAGUUUGUCGUGAAAGGACACUACCAUUGAACCAUAUGUGAAUUUGUAGUUUUAAUUGUAUAUAGAAUUAUAUAUAUAAUGUACAUAUCUUUUAUACGUUAUAAUAUUUUUAAUAUAUAUUAUAAUAUUAUUUAAUAAAUUAAACUAUUAUAAAUAGGUUAUUUUUAAUUAUCUUAUUAUAUAUUUUGUAUACCAAUUAAAUACAAGGUAAAUAUCAAUUUUAUAAAUAAAAUAUUAAUAUUUUUAAUAUAAAAUACUUAUCUAAAUAUCAUUGUUUUUUUAUCCCUCAAUAUAUUCAAUUUAAACAUAUUAUCAUUCUAAUAUUAAUGUGCUUUUAAAUUAGUAUAUUAUUGCCUACUAUUACAAAUUUAUUACAUAUUACUAUAUAUAUAGUAAUAUGCGUUUUUUGUUUCAUGUUUUAUCAUUUUUUUUAAGUUUCCAAGUAUUUUCAUGAAUUUUGAUUAAUUUUCAUUUCAUCAAAAUUUUUUUUUGGUCAAAAUGUUCCACCGUUAUUCCCUCAUAUAUCCAUAAAAUCCAAUGAUCAAUAAAUCUGUGAUUACUGAUUUUUUCAUCCUUGCUCAUGAGACAUCUUCUUCUACCCACCCAACUGCCCGAGAGACAUUGGAUUCCAUGGCCUAUCUCCAUCAACGAAUGAACUCCUAGGAUCUUCAGCUUCGUCAGAUCCAGGGACAACUCCACUAUAUCAUUUCCUAGAUCCACUCUAAAGGCACAUUGAGUUCUACCUCUCCACCUCCUUCGGAUGCUUAUAUAUAUAUGUGUGUGUGUGUGUGUGUGUGUGUGUGUAUGUGUGUUUGUUCUUUUUGUAUCGUUAAUUUGGAUUUGUGCUUUUUUUUUGCUAAUCUUAUGUAUCCAGAAUCAUUUUUUUUUUGCUAUAUAUAUUCUUCUUUAUCUUUAACUCUUGUGUGCUUUCCAAUAUUUAUAAUUCAUAUGUUUUGCCAUUUUUAUGACAUAAAGAGGAAAAAAAAAAAUCAUUGACCAUAUUUAACUCGAAUAGGGGGAGCAUAGGCAUUGACAUAAUAGAAAAAAGAUAAAGGAACUCCUUGAAAAAUAGGAGUUAAUAAGUUUUGAAUUAUUUAUUUAAUUCAUUCUUUUACUCAUUUAAUUCUUAAGGAAAAUUAAUUGUAAUAGUGGAGAAAAUUAAACCUGAGACAUUGGAGGAAAUUAGAUCAACUAUUGAAAGAAUAACUUGGAAGUUUAAGAGAGUUACCUAAUAUAGAUAUUUUCUAUAAGAUAUUUCUAUUGAAUUGUCUUUCAUUUUAGAACUAUUAUGAGUCAUAAAAGCUUCUUCUCAUGACUUUUAUUGUCUAUUUUUUGGCUGGAGAUGGUCUAGGCAUCAUAGUUGAUCUAUUGUGUCUUAUCAAACUUCUAUUAUGUUUGGUUGAUUUGUAUACAUUUAGAUUCCUUUCAAGCUUUACUUUGUACCUUUUUAUCGCUAUAAGUGACAACCCGACUCUUGGUAGCUUGGCAUGUAAGGGUAUCAACAAAAUUUAUACCUAAGGUCCUUGCACUAAAGUAGCAAAGCUACUGUAGCAUAGUGGCUCUAGGAUCGAACACUGGGAAGGGUUUUUACUUUAACUAGUGAAGUUCGGAGGAUGGAGUGAACUUUUCUUAAUAAAAAUUAGGUUAAGAUGAAAACAUAAAAAGAUGAAGGUGUUGUAAACUAAACUAACAUGAAAAUAGGUUAAAAGAUGGAAAAAGAAGUUUCUCAAAGCUUUGGAUAGCCAUGCUUAACUCAUUGUGUAAAAAUGGAGAUUUUGGGACUUUUCACCUCGAGUUGGGGAAGCAACUAAGGUGAUGCUUACUUCCCGAACCGGUAUGAGUUUAACAACUGAGUUUUAGUCCUUUAAAACUUACAAAAAGGGUAGCUGAACCUCAUAAAUGCCCUUUUAAUGAUAUAGGUCAUCUCCUCGACUUGCAAUACAAUGGCUCGUAGGAGAUAACUAAUGAACGUCAGUGGAUCUAACAAUAAGAAUCCACUGAGACCAAAAGCUUAUCAAGUAUUGGCCAUUCAAAGCAAGUCAGAGGGAUUAAAAGCUUUACUUUGAAUGAAAACAUUUAUGACACUCAGCNNNNNNNNNNNNNNNNNNNNNNNNNNNNNNNNNNNNNNNNNNNNNNNNNNNNNNNNNNNNNNNNNNNNNNNNNNNNNNNNNNNNNNNNNNNNNNNNNNNNCAUCCUUGGGGAUUUCAUCCUCCAAGGAUGUUUGGCUACUAGAAAAAUGAGAAAGAAAAGAGAAAAGAAGCGUAUGAACAAAAGUGAUCUUAUAACUUAUAAAGUUACAGGUUACAAGAUUAGAUGAUCAUUGUCUGAGGCUCUUCACCUCUAUUUAAAGACAAUAACAAGCUAAAUUACAAGAGCUAUUACAAAAGCAACCUAUUCAUUGGUUGAUUACAAGGGUAAAAUAGGUAUUUACAAAGCUAAAAAUCAAGCAAAAUAUCUUGGAGAACCGGUAGUGGAAUAACAUCAACAACGUCUCAAAACAGGGGAUUCAAAGGAAUUUCGCAAUGUGCCUAAAUCCUCCUUGCGAAAUUUUCGCAAUGUGUUUCUUCAUGGUGCGAAGUGGCAAAAUUUCGCACCAUGAAGAAAAUCUCCUUGCGAAAUUGGCCAUUUGACAUGAUGCAGUUGCCUUCCAAAGGCCAUAUCUUCCUCAUUUCAGCUCCAAAUCAUACACGGUUUGAAGCGUUGGAUUCUUGACUUCCUAAGCUUUCAAAUGGUAUAUAGCAUGAAAAACAUGGACUUCGGGAAGUGCUCCAAAAGUUCAAAGGAAGACUGCAGCUGUUUUUUUCACUCUGUUUUCUUCACUCUGUUUUCCUCUUCUCCAUUGCUUGUGCUCGUGUUUCCACUUGAAAUUCAAGCCUAUAAACGUACAAAAUCCUUGCUUAACUCGCCCAAGUAGCUCCUCCAUCAAUUGGCAUGCUUGAAUCGAUUCAUAAGCUGAUAAAAACAUGUCAACUUUGCCACAAAAAGGUUAAAACCAAUUACUAAGGACCUUAAUGAAUUAAUUGGGUUAAAUGAAUAUGAUUACUACUCAAAGGUGCUUAAAACCAUUAUAAUUAGGUCUACAAAAAAGCACUUUUUGGUAGUAAUCACACCCCCCAACCGACUCAUUGCUAGUCCCUUAGCAAUGGAGGAGAUAAAAACUAAGUAAACUAUAAUAAUAUACAUAAAAGGGAUCAUGCAAAUCACUCCAAAAAAUGAUAUGAGUGGCAUGAUGAUAUCAAAACACAUCUCACAUGGUGGACUAAAGAUAUGAAGAUUCAAAAUAUAAUAGGAGUUGUCAAAGCUAAAACUUAAACAAAAAGUACAAAGAGUGGAGAUUAUGCAAUUAAGUAUCAAAAGAAUCUCUACUCUCAAGGUUCCGGAUCAAACUCUUCCAUAAUGAGCUAAGUGUUAAUGAGAUUAGCUUCCGGAUAUAGUAUGCACAACUAUCCUCUCCCCCCAACCUAAGCUUUUCUCGGACAUUGGCAAAAUUAACCAACUCUUAAUAGGUUAGGAACGCACCUUCUUAUUCACAAUUCUUUUUACUCACUAAACUUAACCAAUUCACCUAUGUAGCAAGCAGAGGAUCGAUGACUCCCAACCAAUCAAGGUUUAGGGCAUCGGGUUUUAAAGGCUUUCGCCACCCCUUCGGAUCAUGCUUAGGUUUCAAGGAAAGAAUAGAAGCUUAUUCUCUUUUUCUUUUUCUUUUUCUCUUUUCCUUUUUCUUUUUCUAAGACUCAUUGGUCUUUUUGAGGUGUCCCAACACUAUUAAAAAGAGGUUAAGUAAUAAACCAAGUCAAAAUUUUCCUAAGCUUCGAGGGUGAGAAAGUUUUACAUCAUAAAUCCGGGAUCUAAUGUGCACGGUGUGUGUAAAGCUUGAAAUGGAAGAAAUAAGUUCGAAAUCAAAGAGGGCUUCAAUAGAUUAUCAACUUUGAAAGCAUAAAACAAACUCUAAGACUUAAGUAAUUAAGUUAAAACUCGACUUAUCCUAUUUUAUUUUGAGAAAUUAUCUUUAACAACCAUAGAGAAUGAAACAAAAAAUUUUGAAAAAGGGCAAAAACUACUAAAUCAACAAAAUAACUAACUAAAAUAGGAAAUACUUACUUCCUCAACUCUCCCCCCAACCGGGAUGAACAUUGUCCCCAAUGUUUCUAUCGAAAAAGACGAGGAAGGAAUGAUAUACCUUAUGGUGAUGUGGUAUUCAAGGCGUGUGAGUGCAUCCACAUGAUUCAAAAACCAUAAAAAACGUGAGAGAGGAAAUAAGAUACAAAAAAUGAUGCUUAUAUAAACUGAGAGAGUUGAGUACAAGAUAGAAGCAUGAGGUACAUACAAUCUCAGAAUAUAAAACAUGCACAUCUACAAAAAACAUAUACAAAAUGGAGAUAGAAAUAUCCAAUCAUGGAUGUGGCUCCUGAGGUGGAGGAGGUGAUAUGCCCAGGUGAUGGUGGAUCUGAGAUAGCAUGGCGGAGUGCUGGUCCAGGAUAGCUGUGAAAAUGAAUUUAAAAAGAAUCAAAACCUUGGUAAGCAUGAAGAAAAAAUUUCGCAAGGUGAAAAUUCACCUUGCCAAAUUUUCGCACUGGCUACUCCCCUUAAAAACCAAUCCCGAGAGGUUGCACUUUGAUAUUUGCUUUGAAAACAAUUUCGCAAGGUGAAAAAUGACUUGCGAAAAUUUUCGCACUGGUUACUCCUUGCGAAAGUGCAAUCCCGAGAGGUUGCAUUUUGCAUCUUGCAAAAUGUGCAUUUCGCAAGGUGAAAUUCACCUUGCGAAAUUUUCGCAACUCACUUUUUGAGUUGCGAAAUGGGCUUUUAAGCUUGGACUUAGGUAUAUUUCUCCCUAUUUCACCUUUCUUUCCACAUUUGUGAGCUUGUGAGCUUUCGUANNNNNNNNNNNNNNNNNNNNNNNNNNNNNNNNNNNNNNNNNNNNNNNNNNNNNNNNNNNNNNNNNNNNNNNNNNNNNNNNNNNNNNNNNNNNNNNNNNNNUAAGAAGCUCAAAACUCCUUUGACAUUUAUCAUCCCACUCAAACUUGGCAUCCUUCACCAAUAAUUCACAAAGAGGUUUGGCAAUCUUGGAAAAAUCCUUUAUAAACCUCCUAUAGAACCCGACAUGCCCAAGGAAUUGCCUUAUUCCUUUUACAUUGGUGGGAGGUGGCAACUUCACAAUUAGUUCCACCUUAGCUCUAUCUACCUCUAUACCCUUCUUUGAGAUUACGUGCCCAAGAACAAUACCUUGAUUUACCAUAAAAUGGCACUUCUCCCAAUUGAGUACGAGGUCUUUCUCUAUGCAUCUUUUCAAUACAUCUUCAAGAUGUGACAAACAAUCCUCAAAAGAAGUCCCAUACACAAUUAUGUCAUCCAUGAAGACUUCCAUGAUUCGUUCAACCAUGUCACUGAAGAUGCUAAGCAUGCAUCUUUGGAAGGUAGUAGGAGUGUUGCAUAAUCCAAAAGGCAUCCGCCUAUAAGCAUAGGUGCCGAAUGGACAAGUGAAGGUAGUCUUCUCCUGGUCCUCCACAUCAAUCUCUAUUUGAAAAUACCCGGAAUACCCAUCCAAGAAGCAAUAAAAAGGAUGCCCAGAUACUCUCUCAAGGACUUGAUCCAUGAAAGGUAAAGGGAAGUGAUCCUUUCUCGUUACUGCGUUCAGCUUCCUGUAGUCAAUGCACACCCUCCAACCAGUUGUGAGGCGUGUGGACACUUCAUCUCCAUUUUCCCCCUUGACUACGGUUAUCCCGGACUUCUUUGGAACAACUUGGGUUGGACUCACCCAAGUGCUAUCCGAAAUGGGGUAAAUGAUGCCCGCUUGAAGAAGCUUCAACACUUCAGCCCUUACUACCUCUUGCAUAUGAGGAUUCAAUCUUCUCUGUGGCUGACGAGUUGGCUUAGCUCCCUCCUCCAUAUAAAUAUGGUGCGUGCAAAUCAAUGGGCUUAUCCCCUUCAAAUCAGAAAUUUGCCAUCCGAUGGCCUUCUUGUGCUUUCUAAGGAUUCUCAGAAGAUUGUCCUCUUGUGAAACGGUUAAAGAANNNNNNNNNNNNNNNNNNNNNNNNNNNNNNNNNNNNNNNNNNNNNNNNNNNNNNNNNNNNNNNNNNNNNNNNNNNNNNNNNNNNNNNNNNNNNNNNNNNNGCUUCAAAGGGCUGUUGCAAAAGUGAGUGCUCCAUCACUGAUGAUUGCUUUAGGCACUCCAAACCUCGAGAAGAUGUUUUCUUUUAGGAAUUUGAGAACCACUUUGUGAUCAUUGGUUCUACAGGGUAUAGCUUCAACCCACUUUGAAACAUAAUCAACUCCUACCAAGAUGUAGGAGUGGCCAAAAGACAUAGGGAAAGGUCCCAUGAAAUCUAUGCCCCAAACAUCAAAAAGAUCCACUAUCAAGAUGGGGUUCAAAGGCAUCAUGUUUCUCCUUGAAAGCUUGCCUAGUUUUUGGCACUUAUCACAUCCUUUACUUACCUCAUGGGCAUCCUUAAAAAGUGAGGGCCACCAAAAGCCCGAUUGAAGAACUCUCAUUGCUGUCUUUUGUGAGGCAAAGUAGCCUCCACAUGCAUUCUCAUGGCAAUGAGAUAGGAUCCCAUGCUUCUCUUGUUCAGGCACACACUUCCUUAUAAUUUGAUCCACACAAUACUUGAAGAGAAAAGGCUCCUCCCAAUAAUAUGCACGGACCUUGGCAAAGAAAUUCUUCUUGUCCUGAGAGCUCCAUUCACUUGGUAUUUCUCCCGUGACCAAGUAAUUGGCAAUGUGUGCAAACCAUGGCACUUCCUCCAAAAGCAUCAAGGAUUCCUCAGGGAAAUCAUCAUUUAUGGGAAGUCCAUGGGUGUCAUGAGCAAUGUUGAGCCUUGACAGGUGGUCAGCUACCACAUUCUCAACACCUUUCUUAUCUCUGAUCUGGAGGUUGAACUCUUGAAGCAAAAGUAUCCACCUAAUCAACCUAGCCUUGGCAUCUUGCUUGGUUAGCAAAUACUUCAAAGCUGAAUGAUCCGUGAAUACCACAAUGGAAGACCCUAUCAAAUAAGCUCUGAACUUAUCCAAAGCAUACACCACAGCAAGUAAUUCCUUCUCAGUGGUGGUGUAAUUCUUUUGAGCAUCAUUCAAAGACUUGCUUGCAUAGUAGAUCACAUAAGGUUUGCCAUCUUCUCUUUGUCCCAAAACAGCCCCAAUAGCAUAAUCACUUGAGUCACACAUCACUUCAAAUGGCAACUCCCAAUUUGGUGCUCUCACAAUGGGCGCUGAUGUCAAGAAUUGCUUAAAAAGCUCAAAACUCCUUUGACAUUUAUCAUCCCACUCAAACUUGNNNNNNNNNNNNNNNNNNNNNNNNNNNNNNNNNNNNNNNNNNNNNNNNNNNNNNNNNNNNNNNNNNNNNNNNNNNNNNNNNNNNNNNNNNNNNNNNNNNNGUUCCUCCAGCUAGAGUUGUACGUGUUGCCAUAGGGAGCAUUUGGAUUUGGCUUCCAUUGGCCAAUCAGGUUAGCUUGUUCCCCAAACAUUUCUCUUGCUGCCGGAAUGGUGGGACAUUCUUCCACCAUAUGUUCAAAUGACUGACAUAUGGAGCAAGGAUUGGCUUGUUGUUGAGGUUCUGAAAUAGCUUGGACUUCGUGAACUUUUCUCAACUCCAUUUCCUCUAUUUUUCUAGCCAUGGCAGCUACCUUGGCUUUCAUCUCCAUGUCUUCACUCAGACUGUACAUCCCCCCUCUUGACAUUUGCUGAACUGGCCUCUUCCCCAUUUCUCUACUAUUGAGCUCAUCCCAUCCACGGGAAACCUCUGAGACAUAACUUAGGAAGUCCAUAGCCUCCUCAGGGUUCUUGCUCAUGAAAUCACCCCCACACAUUGUCUCCAAUAUCUGCUUCAUUGAAGAUGACAUGCCAUCAUAAAAAUAGCUCACCAAAAGCCAUGUAUCAAAGCCGUGGUGAGGACAUGCAUUGAUGGCCUCCAUAUACCUCUCCCAGCAUUCAUAAAAUUUUUCAUUUUCACGUGCUGAGAAGUUGAAGAUUUGUCUCUUCAAUCCAUUUGUUCUGUGAGUAGGGAAAAACUUCUUCAAAAAAUCAGCUUGAAGUUCUGUCCAUGUUCUUAUGCUUCUCGGCCUCAAGGAAUUGAGCCAUAUCUUGGCUUUGUCCUUUAAUGUGAAUGGAAAGAGCUUCAACCUCAUAAGCUCAAUAGCUGUUCCCCCUUCUUGAAAAGUAUUGCACACAUCUUCUAAUUCCUUUAUGUGCGCAUAUGGAUUUUCACUUUCCAUCCCAUGGAAAGUAGGAAGCAGAGGCACGAUGUGUGGCCUGAUAAUCAAUUGCUCUGUAGGAGGAAUGAUGCAAGAUGGUGCACUCAUCCUCGGAGGGUGCAUCCUGUCCCUCAUGGACCUAUACAAGUUCGGAUCAUUCCCCUGCCCGUGUUGUGAAUGUUGAUCCUUUGGCUGAUUCUCCAUGACUUCCAAAAUAAUCUCUAAUUCAGUAGCUCGUGGAGUCUCUAUCCUUACUAACCUUCCCUCUUGGUCUCUAAUCCAAUAGGGCAUGCACGGAUUCAGCUGGAACAAAACAAAUAAACAAAACAAAGAAAAAGAAGAAAAAACAGAGCAUGCGGAAGGAAAAACAGAGUAUGAAAAAUAAACUAAAAAUGAAAGUUAAAAGCUAAAAGAAACUUAUCUAAACUAAGUUAAAAAUGUUCUAAAAUUAAAAUAAAAAGUUAGUAAAUAAAAAAAAUGAGAUAGAAUUCACCUUACUCAUGAGAAGUCUCACAAGUUACCUCCGGCUGAUAUAUUCAUAGUGAAGUAGCACCUUCCCCGGCAACGGCGCCAUUUGACAACCCGACUCUUGGUAGCUUGGCAUGUAAGGGUAUCAACAAAAUUUAUACCUAAGGUCCUUACACUAAAGUAGCAAAGCUACUGUAGCAUAGUGGCUCUAGGAUCGAACACUGGGAAGGGUUUUUACUUUAACUAGUGAAGUUCGGAGGAUGGAGUGAACUUUUCUUAAUAAAAAUUAGGUUAAGAUGAAAACAUAAAAAGAUGAAGGUGUUGUAAACUAAACUAACAUGAAAAUAGGUUAAAAGAUGGAAAAAGAAGUUUCUUAAAGCUUUGGAUAGCCAUGCUUAACUCACUGUGUAAAAAUGGAGAUUUUGGGACUUUUCACCUCGAGUUGGGGAAGCAACUAAGGUGAUGCUUACUUCCCGAACCGGUAUGAGUUUAACAACUGAGUUUUAGUCCUUGAAAACUUACAAAAAGGGUAGCUGAACCUCAUAAAUGCCCUUUUAAUGAUAUAGGUCAUCUCCUCGACUUGCAAUACAAUGGCUCGUAGGAGAUAACUAAUGAACGUCAGUGGAUCUAACAAUAAGAAUCCACUGAGACCAAAAGCUUAUCAAGUAUUGGCCAUUCAAAGCAAGUCAGAGGGAUUAAAAGCUUUACUUUGAAUGAAAACAUUUAUGACACUCAGCUACUUACAUUCAUGGCUUGGAAAUCUCCAUCCUGACACGGGAGCUUCACAUGGCAUCCAUUACUUCAAGAAACUAAAAGGUUUUAGCCUCUCAUCCUUGGGGAUUUCAUCCUCCAAGGAUGUUUGGCUACUAAGAAAAUGAGAAAGAAAAGAGAAAAGAAGCGUAUGAACAAAAGUGAUCUUAUAACUUAUAAAGUUACAGGUUACAAGAUUAGAUGAUCAUUGUCUGAGGCUCUUCACCUCUAUUUAAAGACAAUAACAAGCUAAAUUACAAGAGCUAUUACAAAAGCAACCUAUUCAUUGGUUGAUUACAAGGGUAAAAUAGGUAUUUACAAAGCUAAAAAUCAAGCAAAAUAUCUUGGAGAACCGGUAGUGGAAUAACAUCAACAACGUCUCAAAACAGGGGAUUCAAAGGAAUUUCGCAAUGUGCCUAAAUCCUCCUUGCGAAAUUUUCGCAAUGUGUUUCUUCAUGGUGCGAAGUGGCAAAAUUUCGCACCAUGAAGAAAAUCUCCUUGCGAAAUUUUCGCAAUGUGAAAUUCACAUUGCGAAAUUGGCCAUUUGACAUGAUGCAGUUGCCUUCCAAAGGCCAUAUCUUCCUCAUUUCAGCUCCAAAUCAUACACGGUUUGAAGCGUUGGAUUCUUGACUUCCUAAUCUUUCAAAUGGUAUAUAGCAUGAAAAACAUGGACUUCGGGAAGUGCUCCAAAAGUUCAAAGGAAGACUGCAGCUGUUUUUUUCACUCUGUUUUCUUCACUCUGUUUUCCUCUUCUCCAUUGCUUGUGCUCGUGUUUCCACUUGAAAUUCAAGCCUAUAAACGUACAAAAUCCUUGCUUAACUCGCCCAAGUAGCUCCUCCAUCAAUUGGCAUGCUUGAAUCGAUUCAUAAGCUGAUAAAAACAUGUCAACUUUGCCAUAAAAAGGUUAAAACCAAUUACUAAGGACCUUAAUGAAUUAAUUGGGUUAAAUGAAUAUGAUUACUACUCAAAGGUGCUUAAAACCAUUAUAAUUAGGUCUACAAAAAAGCACUUUUUGGUAGUAAUCAAUAAGGAUAUGUUUCUAUUACAUGCUUUCACAAUGUAUCGAGCAAAAUCUCUAACUAUCAUGUUCUAUUGCUUUGAUCAUAUCUUAUCUCACACAUUUUCCACCUUUGUUGAAGUUUUUUUUUAUGUGUGUAGGUUACAGGAUUGGAAAAUAAGUACUACCAGAUGAUGCAAAACAUUCCCUUAGUUUAUUUUUAAUUAAGCAUUAAUGUUUGUUAUGUAAACUUCAUUAUAAGAGUUCAGGUGGGUUUAUGUAAUGAUGUUUUGUCAAAAGAUUGCCAUAAAGGGAAAUUGUUAGGACAUUAAGCCUUGAUUAUAUGUCGACAAUUUUGUUCCUUUUAAUGUUUGGCCAUAGAAGUCUUUUUAGAUAGUGACUUUCUCUCUAUUGAAGAUUAUGAGUUGUAAUUUGUCUAACUGAGAAUUCACAAGUACAUCUAAAAAAGUUUGGCUUGUAGUAAGUUAGGCUUCUUUGAGGUAUAAAUAUGAUUGGUAAUUUUUUUGAACUUAAAUUAAUUUUAUAAAGUUUUUUAAAAAUAGAGGAUGCGCAAGUGGGGAGCAAUGCUUAAGUGUUGUGACUACUCAAGUGCCCCAUAUUACUUGAGCGCCCAAAGUGCUCAAGCCACCUUUGUAAGCUCGAGCAAUCAUGAAUCUCUAGUCGAGAUUUUUUCACGCAAAAUUGAUUUGGAAGUCUUCUAAAACCAAACCUUUUGGAGAUUUAUUCCUACAAAUACCUCUUUAUAACCCCUUAAGGGUUAGAGAUUGUUUUAGAGAUUAGUGAGGGAUCUUACAUUCUUUAGAGAGAGUCUCUUAGAGAAAAAGCCUAACGAGCCGCACCAUUCCCGAUCUCUCAUUUAAGGAUUCAAUAUUUGAAUCUUGGUUUGAAAACCUACAUCCCUUUAACAAGGUUGAAAUGUAUUCACUAGAGUAAUAGGAGGUUUCUACGUUGCAGACAUGGAUCAAGUUUUUUUAAGUAUUGAAGAGUAAGUCUUUAGGGUAAAGUGGCCAAGUAAAUCUAUGUAACUUGAUAUCAUAUAAUGGAUUUAGAUUAGCGAUCAUUGACUUCUUGGUUUUUUACCUUCACAAUUAGUGUGGGGGUUUUCCAUGUAAAAAAUCUCUUAUACCUUAUUGUUUAUUACUUGAUAUCUUGUUUGAAUUGCUGAGAUGUACUCUUCACUGUUCUUGUUGGGAUUAAGCCCCUAAAGGAAAGACAUGAUGUAACAAAUUUAGACUUAAUUGUCCUCUUGCCAUCCCUUUGGUGUAUUGACAUUGAUUUGAGCAUUUAACUCAUAUCUCUUACAUUAUUAUAUGACUUGGGUGCAUUAGGAGUUGCACACAAGAUACAAGUCAUGAGUUCCUUAUAAGUACAUAAGUUGUCCAUAAUUGGUUAAUGGAUUUGGUCAAUUGAAGGGAUGACUUAUCUUGGACAUUGGGAUGAGUUUCAAAUGAUGAGUGCACUAGUUUAUGUGAUGCACAUUGGACUGGACCUAUGGUGAAUCAUGAUGUAAGGCUAUCAAAUGUCAUGAUUCACCAAGCUAUUAUGCUACAUGGACUCUCAAAGUAGAGAGGAUAUCGAGCCUAUGUUGAAAUCAACAAAAGGCUUUGACCUAUGGGAGAGACCCUAAAGUCUUCAUAUAUCCUUAUGGAUUAGGUCACUGUUAAUGGAGGUUAGUAACAAUAGGUAUUCUUAAUAGAGGCACCAUGAUAUCUCAUGGGAUUGAGACAGUGUGUCCCCUUGGGUAAUCCAAAGGACAUGUGAUCAUGAAAUUUAUGGCCACAACAAUUCCUUUAGUGGAAUUUGACUUAUGCUCCUUGGAGUUGGAGCUAGAGCAUGUCAGUUAAUCAUAUAAUAAGUGGGAUUUAUAACUUAAGAAUUGGAGAGGUAAUCUUGAUCGGUGAUAGCACUACCUUGUUAGAUUAUGAACACUAGUUCAUUGGGAGUUUAUAUGCAAUGGAUAGUAGGAUGUCGUGGACCUGAACUUUGUCUCAUUAUUAUAUACAUAUGGUAUUAGAGUGUAGUUAAUUCUCUUUAAUGGAAUGUUGAAUCAAUUUCAAAAUUGGAUUUUGAUGGAGCAAAUACUCCUAUGGGUCCUAGUGGUUCUCACUUUGAGCUUAUAUACUAUGUGACACAUUUUAUGAGGGUUGAAUUGACUCUAGGUUGAUUCUUGUGCAUAAGAGCAUUUUGGUAACUAUGCAAGGUGGCAUAGGGGAUAAUGAAUAAGGUAUUUGGUUUGGGCCAAUUGAUCAAUUAGAUGACCCUAUAUAGUUACUUAAUCAAUUAGGAGCCAUUUUGAGCUAGACUAAGUGACCCAAGCCUUGAUGGGCUUAAGUCACUUAAGCACAAUCAACAACCCUAUAAAUACCCCUUUAUGGGUUAGUGUUUCCUAAUGAAUUUUUAUGAGAGUUGUUUUCCACCUCUAGAGAAAGAGAGAGAGAAAUCCAUAGCCUCUUCCCUUUUGUUGCCCACACUUUAGAGUGCCAAGAUUGUGGUUCAAGUCAUCGAGUGGAGGAUCUUGGGUGUACGAGACCUUCUUAGAUGAGAGGUUACAACAUGUGAACAUGCGUAGAGCGCAUGCACAAGAUGUGCAUAGGCCACGUGCAUGGGAAUUGAACGAGACAUGCACAUGGGUAGUAGCAUGAGGAGAGAGACUCUCCAUUUUUUCCAAGUAUGUUCUUCAUCAGAUGGAUUUUGAUCUAGGAACAUAUAAAUCACAUGUAUGAGUUUCAAAUCUCUAGAUCUAUAGUUAUUAAUGGUUUCCAUUUCUAAUUUAUUCCACUGCGAUAGAUUUACAAAUGCCUAGAGAUAGAUGCAUGCACCCUAUGAGAUCUAAGGUAUAGGAACAAAGUAUUAAUCAGGGUUCCCAAGUGAUGAUAAUAGUAAGAAAUCAAGAUUGGACCUAGCACUAAUUAAACAUCUGGUAAAGUCUGGACUCUUUGAUUCCAAAAGAUCUUCUAGUUUAUGAAUCCUAUAUAGAUGGUAAAAUGAUCAAGAAGACUAGAGGUAAGGAAUAUUUGGAGUUAGUGCAUACUAACAUGUAUGGAACUUUUAGUGUCUAUACAUGGGGAGGGUAUGGGUAUUUCAUCACUUUUAGUAAUGAUUACUUUAGGUUUGGAUAUGUACAUAGGAAAUCCGAUGCCUUGGAUAUAUUCAUUGAAUUUAAGGCGAGAUCGAAUAACCUAUUGGGUGUACAUACCAAGUCAUUUCAAUUAUAUCAAGUUGAUAUGUCUGGUAAGUUUGAUUCUUUUUGUUAAAGUAUAAGAUUAUUUUCUAGUUAUGUUCAUCAAGGUCUCUAUUGCAAAAUGAAUAAGUGGAAAGAAGAUAUCAAACUUGGAUGGACAUAGUAAGAUUUUGGAUAGGUUUCUCAUAUUUUCUCAAAUUCUUUUGGGGAUAUGUCUUAUAGAUUGUGUAAUUACUUUUUUUUUUUCUUAAGAGGUGUAUUAGUUUAUAGGAUAUCUAAGAGGAUUUUUGGGUUGUCACCUUUAUAGUCAAAAUCAUCAAAAGAUAUUUGUUAACAUAAAUGUCCCAUUUUUCAUGAAGAUUAUAUGAUAAGGAAGAAGACAUAGAGUGAUAUAGAUUGGAGGAUAUAUUAGAAGAUAGUCCCACAUUGCAUAGGAUACUAUGGAUCCAGAGGGUUAAAGACAUACCAUUCCUAUGAUUUCUAGUACACUAGUACCUCAUCAUAGUGGGAAGUUUAUAUCCCACAUAUAAUGAUGAAGCGGUGAGCAAUGUUUAUGCUCACUUAAGGUAAGGACGUGGAGACUUGGAUGAUACAAAGAGAACCAAUAGCUUUAUAUUCCUCAUGGGAGAGAUAUCAUGUUCACUUGGACUUCAAAAAAGCAACCUAUUGUGAAACUUUCAACCUAUGAAGUGGAAUUUGUGAAAAUGUUUACAAAAUCUCAUAAUCAAAUUGUGAAAAUGUUUACAAAGUCUCUCAAGUUUAAUGAUUUUAGAAUGCUAAGGAUGCUACUUUUACAAAUGAAGUUGAAGGCAUGAGUGAAAAUGUUGACAAAGUUUAAAAUUUUUAGAAAACUAAGGAUGCUAUUUUUACAAACCAAGUUGAAGGGAGGAUGUUAGUUAAACUGGAUUUAGGAAGUUUCUAAAAAUUAGAAUUUGAGUUAGAUUCUAAAAUGCUUGAUUUAGUUUGUAUAUUUUGUUAUUACAAGAUUUUAUAUUUUACCAUUAUGAGUAUCUAUUUUUUUAGGUGUUAAUAUCUAUAAAUAAGAUGUUACCUAAUAGUUGAACAAGAGUGGUGGAUGACAAUAAAUUUUUUCUUAAUCAUCUCAAUUAUUUAAGUAUCUCCCUUUACAUAUGUAAUUACUUGUGUGUUUUUUUCAACCAUAUUACUACAACAUAUGUGAAUUUGCUGGUUGGUCUAUGAAAAUUUAUAUCAGUUGUUCAACCUGUUAAAUUCUGUUAGGCUUGUGUAACGGUAUUUAGAUCAUAGCAUCUUUCCCUAAGCCCGCAUUUUUCUAAAUAUAUAAUUAAAAUUGUUGUGUUUGCAAUUUUAAUGAAAUCUAGCAUUGGAUACUUAACUACAUCCCACAAAACGACAAAAAAAUGGUGGCCAUUUCAUGGAGGCUAACCAUUCACCUGCCUUUAGCCAAGUUGUGUUUCAACAGUAAAGUAAUUAUCUCAAUCAAAACACAAAAUUUAGUUUUCUAAACAAUUAUUGUUCUUGGAAAACAUGCAAGGAACUUAAGCAUCAUAAGGUACUUAAGCAAUCCUAGUUGGACGUUCAGUAUCCAGAUCUUUUCAGAUCUUUUCAUUAAUUGGUUUUUCUCUUUUUGUGCCAACAUCUGCUCUCUCUCUCCAGCAUGCAAGCGUAAGUGGUAAGCACCUCUUUUGUGCUUUAAAUUAAUUGAAUACUUGAUCUUAUUCCGCCAUUCUUUUGGGUCUAACCCAAAAAUACAUUUACCAUGCCUUCUUUUCAUGUCCUCAACUUACUCAAAAGCUCAUAAGUCCCAUUGGAUAUGAUGUACUGAGUUUCAGAUUUUUGAAGUAAAAUUAUCAACAUUGUUUAUAGGUUAUACUCUUUUCAACAGUUUAAAUUGUUUUUGUUAAUAGAUUAUAUGGUUGUUUUAACACGGAAAUUGGAAUGAAGCCAAAUAUGCAGAAAAAAGAAAUGGUUGUGACCAAUAGUUAUAUUUAUUCUCUUUUAUUUCUAUUAAUACUCAAAUUUUUAGGGAUAGAGCAUCAACAAUCCUUGUGAUUAGUUAAUAAUGUUGAGAAAAGUCAAUGACUACACAAUGAUAUGUCAUCAAAGAAGACAUCAAUAAUCACCCCCACACAAUGAUAUGUUGUAUAAUUCAUUACUUGUAUCAAACACAAAUUUCCUUCAAUGUGUGUCUAUGAAUAAAAGAGAGUUCUCGGUUUUUAUUCGACAUACACGCUAUAUAGGCCAUGCUAAUAGCAAUUGAUAACAAGAAUCUCAACACUGAAGUCCACGUAGAAUCAGGUGUGCACCAUAUUGGGGUUGCAUAGUUAGAAUAUUGAAAGGAGCAUGAGCAUAGGAUGGCGAAAGUUCAAAUGAGAAGUGUUGUAAGAUCAUUGCCAAAGCUAUUUUUGCCUCCAUCAUUGCAAAAUUUUGUCCAAUGCAAACCCGAGGACCCCAACCAAAUGGGAAAAAUGAAACUUGGUUUUUUGUUGCCUUCAAAACUCCUUCUGCAAACCUCUCUGGAUUAAACUCCUUUGCAUCAUCCCCCCAAAUUUCAUGAUCAUGGUGAACUAGGAUGGUGGGCGGACUUGCACUCCAGCUGGAAAACACAUGUCUCCCACUUGAGUGUCCUUAUAAACAGCUCUAGCAAGCAUUGCUAUUGGUGGGUAUAACCUAAGAACCUCAUGAAAAAUCAUGGUAACCUGUGGUAGAGAAACUUUAGAAGUUGUUGCAUGAGAAUUCUUACUAAAAUACAUUCUAAAUCAUUAUGAAGGACACUGAAGAAUAAAGCAAUUUCUUAAAAUAGUGAUGUCGAAGACAAAAUGUUCUAAAUCAUGCAUGACAAAAUAUCAAGUAUGCAAAGGACAUUGCAUAUCCCAUGGAUACAAUAACUUAAGAACCUCAUGAAAAAUCAUCAUAAUCUAGCAGAGAAAUUUGAAAUCAUGGCAUGAGACCCCGUUCCUGAGCUACUAAGUGAAAGCAAAUGUUUAGUACAAGAUAUAAAAACUUAAGAGAAAUGUGUUUUCAAUUUUACUCCAAUUAUGGGGAAAAAAUAGAGUAUUGUACGAUUUUAGUGAGAAUCAUUAAACUGAAGAUUGGACUGAGUACUCACAAUUUUUAGGUGAUUUAAUCCAUCAGCUUCCGGUUUUUUAUUCCCAAAAACCUGUAAAACCUCUUCUCUUGCACGAGCUUGCCAGUUUGGAUGCUCGCUUAGCAGGACCAUUGUCCAUACAAGCAAAACUGAGGUUGUCUCUUGGCCAGCAAGAUAGAAUAGCUUACACUCUUCAAUGACAUCUCUGACACUCAUUCCAAUCUUCUUGUUAUUUUGAUGUUCUUGAAUUUCUCUAAAAUUGGAUUCCAUUAGUAUACCUAAUAAGUCACUAUUAGCAGUUUCGCCAGCCUUCAUUGCCUUCUCCCUUUUGUUAACGAUACCCCUCAACAAUGCAUAUACUUCUUUGCUUAUUUGCUUCAUCCUCCUGUUCGUCUUUGUGGGUAAAAACCUGCGCGCAUGUUAGUAAUUCUAGUAAAUAAAACAUCAAAUGAAACACAAACAUUAAUUCUUAUUUUCAUCCAUGCCUUCUACUUCUCCAUUAAUUUUUUGAAACUUGUAUAAGGCUUCAAAGGUAGAAACUAUCAAGACAAUAACUAAUGGUUUCAUCUACACAUGUUGCAGUGGUAUCUCAUCAUCUUGACACAAUAUCCUGUAAACAUAAGAUUGAGGAUACUAAACAUCCAUUAGUGAAACAUACUACUUUCUAAGUGUUAUACAAAAGAAGUAAUUGACUAAAAGGGGAUGAAAUGAUCUCAAAGUUGUAAAUCUAAUAUCUCUUAUGCUUGACCUUGAAAAGCAAUCCAUUUUUAACAUAAAUUCUCUUCAACCUUGUUAACCAAAUACACACUUGAGCAUUGUGAAACUUUCAACCUAUGAAGCGAAAUUUGUGUUGGCAUCAUUUGUAGGUUAUGAAAUUUGUUCAAGAAACUUAAUUUACCAAACAAGAGACUGAUAAAGAUCUAUAUGGAUAUAAAAUCAACAAUUACCUUAUGAGAAAAAUCUAUUUCUCCAUGAUGGUGUUGAAUUUUGAAGUUAAAUUUUGCAAUUGGAGUCUUGCACAAAAUCUGCAACAUCUAAAUAGUUUCUUGUUUUUAUUUGGUCAAGAUUUGGUUUCUAUUUUAUAGGAAGUAAUUGUUCAUCAUCUAGUAGCUUGAUUUUCUGUUAUUCUAAUGUCAUUUCAGUUACAAGUUCAUGUAUAAAUUCAACACUCUUUAUCAAUAAAAUAUGUGUUCCAGCAGUCCAAAAAUAUAUAUUCUGCGUAAGUGUUUUAAUCUAAGAUCAACAGAUGGAAGCCAGUAUAUUGAUACAAAAUAUCAUUUAUUAGAGUAUAUUAUGAAAUAUGAAGUGCAAUUAAAAUUUACAAAAUCUCAUGAUCAAAUUGUGAAAACAUUUACCAAGUCUCUCAAGUUUAAAGAUUUUAGAAAGCUAAGGAUGCUAUUUUUACAAAUCAAGUUGAUGGGAGGAUGUUAGUUAAACUAGAUUUAGAAAGUUUCUAAAAAUUAGAUUUUGAGUUAGGUUUUAAAAGUUAAUUAAAAUAUUUUAUACAAAAUUCUUGAUUUAGUUUGUAUAUUUUGUUACUGCAAAGAUUUUAUAUUUUACUAUUGUGAGUAUUUUUUUUAGGUGUUAGGUGUUACUAUUGUGAGUAUACAAUAAAUUUUUUCUUAAUCAUCUCAAUUAUUUAUAUAUGUAAUUGCUUGUGUGUUUUUUCAACCACAUUGCUGCAACAUAGGUGAAUCCGCUGGUUGGUCUAUGAAAAUUCAUAUCAGUUGUUCAACCUUUUAAAUUCUGUAACGUAUGUAGAUUAUAGCCUCUUUCCCUAAGCCUGCAUUUUUCUUUCAUUUCAUGGUGUCAACACUUCAGGAAAGCAAAAUUUCCUAAAAUGGAAUAUGGUGUGCAAGGACAAAGAGACUUGUUAGGCAUCUAAACUCUAGGGAAAUGUAAGACUGAUUUGAAACCAAAAUUUGAGCAAACUAAAUCUGCUGAAACACUGCUGCAAAAAGAAAACAAAGCCCCAAAUAACUCUUUGAUCUUUUGUACCAAUCAGACUCGUGUAUGAAUAGUUCCAGAAAAAUAAGCUGCAUAUUUCUUGAAAUAUUUUUAUGCAUACCUCCAUCCCGGGAUAUAAACUGACAUUGUAACCUGGAUUGCAAGAUGUGUUUGUUCUUUCUGGAGCUGGAAUAUCCUUCUUCCUUCUUCAUAACUACUACCAAAUGCUGUCCGAGAAAUCACAUCCCCUGUCAAAUUUUCAAGAUAGGGCCAAACAUCCAACUCACAUGAUCCCCCCACCGAAAGCAUUUUCCAUUUGGUCACCAUGUCGCUACAACUCAAAUGAAAUGCCGGCAACAUAUUCUAUAACAAAUUCAACCACAAAAUAAAUUAAUAAAGACCAAAACAGUCCAGUAUCCAGUUUCAAAUUCAAUAUACAGCCAUUUAUCACUGACCUGUGAAAUAACAAUUUUAGUAGUUCAUAAAGUAUGUACUACUUAAAGUCAUCAUAUGUUAGGAAGAGUCGUAUGGGUGGAGGAUGAGGAAUAUUCAGUUUUGCCAUGGAGGCACUGACUAAAGAAAUCAUAGAAAAAAAAUGUGCAUAUUCAUGAAAAGUUAGAUGUAUGGGUAAUAAGCAAGCAAGAUAAGAAAGUUGUUAAGAUCUUACUGUCAUAUGUAUCAAGUAUUUUAAACUAGGAACAGACAAUCAAGCAUAUUUUGAUCCUUAUGGUUCAAAUUACCUAUGGUUUACAACAUGGUAAAUAAAACUUCUGAAAAUUUCUAUUGGAGACUGGAAAAAGACUUUAGAUGAGUAAGAAAAAAAAACAAGGAAAAGGUAGGACACAUUGGGUAUGUGAAAAUACUUAAUUAAACUGAUUGAAAUAUUUGGGAAUUUCGAUAUUUAUACAGGUCUUUAGCAAAAUUUUUAUAAAAAUUGGUAGUUAUUAUUUUUCGAAUACUAAUAUAAAUUUAUCUUUCAAAGAUACAAUUUUAGUGUAGUUUUCAAGUGUUAAAUUUUUUUUUUUAAAAAAAGACAACUUUAUAAAAUUCAUUUCUUUGAACUUUUAAAUGAUAACUUUAAAAAGUUUGUUCACUUUCAGAGUUUGUGAAAAGAUUAAAAAAAAAAAUACACGGAAAUAAGGUAAAAUAUUCUGGUUUGGAAGCUGGGCAUUCAAAAUUACCUUCAACUUUUCUAGAUGGAAAGCUGGGUUGAUGUUCUUUCUACGUUUAGCCCAUCGUUCGCCUUCCAAGGUCACCAGACCAGAAACCAGCAACUUGCCAAGUGGGUGUGGGGGUGGCUUUUGAAAGACAUUGGACUUUAACAAAAUAUCCCUUAUUAGCUCAGGCUCCAUAAUGUUUACCAUUGGAUUUGGACCGAACCAUGCAAAGAAAUUUUUACCUGCACGUUUAUGCCAUUAUUGGAUAGUGUUAGCCUCAGAUUGCUUUUAGUUUGGACUUCACACAAAUUCAACUUUGGGUAUUAAAAUUCAGUUGCACCCAACUUGGACCAUCGAAAACAAUGAAAACUUCAACCAUAGUUUCUAUGCUGAGUUAUUGAUAUGAAGGAAUGAACUCUAUUCACUGUAGCCUUGAGAUUAAAUAAUGAAAUCAAGAGGGCUAUCAAUAUGCUUGGCAGGCUGGGUGACAGUUUUGGAUAGAUGCAACAAUUUUAAUUAUUUAGCUUUGGAUUCUUUCCAGAGAAUAUUCUGCAAUCUAGCAUGGGAUACUUAAAGACUAUAUCCCACAAAAAGACAAAAAAAAUGGUGGCAAUUUCAAGGAGGCUAAUCAUUCACCUGCCUUUAGCCAAGGAUUAGUUAUAAACAAAACCUUCCGAAAAGAAAGGGGGAGAGCCCAUCUGGAUGGACUUGGCAUCGACACAAAAGAAUUGGCAUCGAAAGAAAUAUUAAGAUUUAAUAUUUGUUCAUUUAUACUUUGAGCACAAAUAACUGACAUAAAAAUUCAUCCAAAAGUUCCGAAACGUCAUUAAUUGACACUUGAAAAAAAAAAGGUAAAAACUUGGCAUAAAUUAGAAUUUAUUCAUAGCUCCCAGAAAUUAAACAAUUGAAAACUAAAAACAGUACUUUUCAAAGUGGAAGUAUAUUAAUUUCUUGAUAAAAGAAAUUGCAAUACAGUUAGCAAAGAUUAAGAACUACCACUGAAGUCUAAACCUUUGGUGUAAUUUAAGAAAGAGGAAAAUAAACAAAACAGAAAGGAAAAGAAAAAUAGUUAGGAAGAGAAGAGCAGAUAACAAACAACUGCUUUAGGGCAGUAUAAAAAAGUUGGCCAUAAUUUGUAGAGAUCAGCAAACUUUAAUACUAUGAUGAAAAGUAAUCACUCAUAUCGGUACCGUAUUUCUUAAUGAAAUGACAAUGGAAGGGCAGGACACGCGGAGCAAUAUCAUCGGAGAGGCUGAUUGGUCUUGAAUAUGCUUCUUUUAACAUCAUGGACAUCUCUUUAAAGUCCCCAUGUAAAAGCCUAUAAGAAUUCCCAGCCAGGCCUUGCUCUCUAAGGCAUCUUUCUAACCUCUUUGGCCUCAACCACACCCAAUUCAGUAGCCUCCAUAAACAGCUUAUGAGCACAGUAAGGAACCCAAAAGAAAUUGCAACUGAGCUAUGCUUCAUUUCCAGUUUGAGGGACUUCUAUCAGGAAACGUGUGUUAAAUCACUUCAGAGUGAGAGAAUGACUUUAUGCUGCCGAUGUGUAUAAAUUGGCCCCUCUUCUAUUCCCUCAUGCCGGCAAACAUAGAAGAUUUCGUCAACGCCUAAUGGGGAGAAGAACGUCUAGUAUUUUAAAAUCUAUAAAUUAUCUAUUUUAAUUGUCUCCAUCAAUAUGGAUUUUAAACUUCUCAAUGAGUUAUUAAUUUAUUCUAUUUGAUACAUUUCAAAGUUUGUGCAAUCAUCACUGCUUAUUAAAAACUAUAUAUGCCAUGAAUGUAGAAGGCAAAAUUUGAGCACGGAAUAUGGAAUUCUAUUUGAUGGACCAGCUUUCACUUGUGAGUCGAUGGAGCAUGUGGAUGCUCACUUUCAGAGCCUCAAGGGACAGCUCGCAUCCCUCACAUCUUGGCAGAUGUCGCAGGGUGCUUCCAGCUCUACUACUCCAUCUGAUCUGGACUUUUUGAUACUUCAUGUUUUUUUUUUUUUUUUUUCGUUUUUUUGUUUUUUGUUUUUUGUUUUUUUUUUUUGUUUUUGUGGAUAAGUUUAUUUUGUACACCUAACCCAUCUUGGCUCAGUCUAUCAUAUAUUUGUUUGUCUAGAUGUACUUUUAUUUUCUUAUCUCUUGUAUCCAAAACCUUUUUUUACCAUAUAUGUCCAUGUGUUUGCUUUUCUUUUCUCCUUUUCGUAUGCUUACUGCUUCAUCAUGCUCUUUGUCAUUUUUUGCAAUAAAAAGGGGGAGAUGGAUUGUUGAUUUGAUUGAGUGUUUUGCAAUUCAUAUUUUUUUGACAUCUGUUUCAUGACUUGCAUCCCCUUCCUCAUUUACCUGAUUUGAUAAAAUUGAUCAGUUAUCUUUCUUCCCACACACUACUUUACCUGGGUAUGUUGUUUAGUGUGUGCAAGUUCUAGGUACUAGGGUAUUGCUCAUUUUUUGGAUGUGGCUUCUAGUCCUUUGCACGUUAGAUGAUGAAUUGGUUUAGACAAGGGGUAUUGAGAGAUUUGUAAACUCCAUUUGAGAGUAUUGAGGGGUUUAUGCAAUUUGUAUUUUAUCACAAAAUUGCCAAAGGGAGAGAUUGUUCAUACAUUAGGUGAUGUAGUUUAAAAUUGUCAAUUUUGUUCUAUUCAUUUUGGUUUAGGAUCUUUCUAGAUUGUGUCUCACUCCCCAUUGAAGACUCAAGGUUAUUAAUUGAUCAACCAGGAUUACAUAGGUAAGUGUAAAAAGAUUUGUGAAAGGCAAGUUAGUGUUGGGUAUGACAUGGCAUGGAUUGAGUGGUUUAAAAUUGAGCAAAAUGAUUUUCUAACCGGGUUCAAAAAAUGCCUAAAGCACUCAAGCACUCUAAGAGCAUUUGAGCCCUAGCAAUAAAAUUCUCUAGAAUUUUGGAGAUCUGUCUUUCUAUUUUUAAAGGAUUUAUUUUGAGGAACUUUUUAGAAUUAGUCCACUAGGUUCCUAGGCUUAUAUAUACAUUGCUUGAAAAGGUUUUUGGUUUGAUGUUGUUGAGUUGAAAAACCUAGUUUGUCUUCCUGUUUCCAAAAUUCUAAAAGAAACAUUCAUAUUUUCCUUUGCCUAGUUGAGAAGGAGAUUUGUAUCCCCCUCAAGUGCUAAAGUGAGAUCCUCUAUGAGCACAUGAGAUGUUGCAUUGUGGAUGCAAAACACAAUGUAGGUGUUAGGUAGUAAGUCUUAGUAGUAGCUUUCAUCAGGUAAAAUUGAGUACACACCCCAUUAUAUAUGAUGGAGAGCUCCUCAAAUGCAUAUCCUAGAAUCGAAAUCAAUUGACACUAAAUUAACACCCAACCCAUAUUUCAAACAAAAUCUUGCAAUUUCACAUUUUGAGCACCAAUCCAUGAAAAUGGUGUUUUCGGGGAGCAAUUUCAAUUGAUUUAGGAGAGCAUAUUAGAUCUUACCCUUCCCCUCUUGAGACUUGAGACUUAGGAGUAACCUGUUUUCGGAUAGAUUCAAUAUCACUAAUUGAUUAAUUUCUAUGUACAAUAUGUUUUUCUAAAUUUUAAACUCAUAAAAAUUCCAUCCUCUUAAUUCUAUUAGAAUAACAUAAAUCAUAUGGAAGUUAGAUUCUAAAUCUCAAGUCUUCACAUCAUCAAGUAUCAACUAUACGAACUCAAACUCAACACUUUAGUGGCUCUAAAGAGUCUAUUUUAGUGCAUUUGAGGUAUUUAAAAAUGACCUAAUGCUUGUUUUUUUUUUUUGUUAUUAAUUCCUUAGCCAUUUGUUUUUUAUUUUUUUGUGAGUAUUUUUAGAACUUUAAGGUAUUUUGAAAAUGAAGUAGACUUUGUGGAGGAUUCUCAAAGAAUAAAAUGCCUAAGUAGAGGGCAAGAACAAAUUAUGUACCUUUUAAGUACACAAGAGUCUAUUGUGCAUCUCUCAAGUGUGCCACCAAACUAGAUUGCACACUCCCUCUAGCAAUUUAAAUUGAGCACCUUCCCCAUGAUUCAAAGGUUGCAUACCCCCUCAACAAUUGAACCCAACAAGAGCACUCAACUUGUGCAUGUCCAUAACAUCUUAAUUGCACUUUUCCCUACCACUACAAUAGUGUAUCCCUAGGGCCACUCACCAUGCACUGUCAUGCCCCAAAGCCCACUCCAAGGGCAUGACAAUCUUUUCACACCUAGCUCAAGCCCAAGGGCUCAAAGUGGAAAUGGCACAAACAUUCGUAUUGUAAUUGAAAAUUUACCAAUUACCAAAUUUCUGGAUCAAACAUUUUCAAUUAUGCUUGCAAAUAGGAGAUAUAACAUACACUUAUUUUCAUAAAAACUUUUGAGUUCAAAAUGCCAAUACAUUCAAACUUUUCAACAAAACUUUCUCAUAUCCAUUUCAAAACAAUUUCUCAACAAACCAAAUCGAAUACAUUCAAAAUAUAUUUACUUUGGUUAUGAUAUGACAAAUGGUGCCCAAUUAGGUGGGACUUUGCAAUUGAGUAACUAGUUUCAAAUUGGUUCAAUUUAAGGUGGACAAAACCAAAUGUCAACAAUUAUAACUCAUUGACUAGGGUCAUAAGGUCAACUAUUAUAACCCAUUUACUAAGGUCAUAUAACAUCAACUAUUAUAACCCAUUGACUAAGGCAAAAAAUGUGAACUAUUAUGACCCGUUGACUAAGGCCAUAUAAACCAGAGUCAAAUACUUUAUUUCAUUAAUUCAAACUUACAAAACAAAACAUCAUAUCUCCUCAAUUUUUCAUUUUUCAUAAACAAAGAAAAUACUCAAAUAUACUUUCAAUAAAAAACAUAUAUUUGAUCCUUGCUUAAAGAUAAAACUAAUAUUUUUACACAUUUCAAAAAAAAAAAUAUUUUUUUUUACAAAAAUCUGCAUUAAUUUCCUUUACCUUGAAGAAGCACUCAAAAUCUUAAAGUAUUUAGCUUUGAAGAAUUUCCUCCUUACCUAACAUAAUAUCAUAUACAAUAUUGACUAUUGAUUAUUUAUCUAAAUAUAUAAAUUUGACAAUCCUAAAAAUAUUUUAGUUAGUAUUAGGGAUCCUAAUUAAUUUCUCAUAUUAAUAUUAUUAUCAUCCAAUAUUAUUUUCAACUUCCUAAACAAUAAUUUAUUUCUCUUUUCUAACUUAUCCAAAUUAAAUAUUUUAAGAAGAUUUAUUUGCAUUAAACAUUAUUACUAUUAUCUAAAUCUCCUACUAAAACUUAACAAAUACCCCAUGCAAUUCUUUUUUUUUUCCCCAGCAACUCCACACCAACUCCAUUCAUUAUUAUUAUUUCUUUUAUUAUUAUUAUUAUUAUUAUUAUUGUUGUUGUUGUUGUUGUUAUUGUUAUUAUUAUUAUUAUUAUUAUUAUUAUUAAUUUCAAUACCCAACAACACCUUAACCUAUUUCUCUUCCAAGCCAUCAACGUCUUUUUCUUCCUCAUCAUUUACCAAAAUACUAUUUACUUCCUUUCCUAGGUCAACGUGUUGACCAUUUCUUAUUUUUUUUUUUCAAUAUGCCAAAUCCUUCCUACCUAGACGCAUCUUUCAUCAUUUUUUUUCUCCUCUCUAAAGUCAAAACUUUUAAUCUCCAUACUUAGAAAUUUUAUGUAAUUUUCAAAUCUGAAGCUAUAUAUAUAUAUAUAUAUAUAUAUAUAUAUAUAUAUAUAUAUAUAUAUUCAAAUCUGAAGCUAUAUAUAUAUAUAUAUAUAUAUGUUUAUCUAGAUUUAUUCGUUUAAGUAAUCAAAAUUUGUCGAUCUCCAUUAAUAAAUCAAACUAUGUUCAUAUUUUUUUUUAAUAUUUUUGACCUAGAAAUUAAUUAAGCGAACUCUAAUCAAAAUUGAAAUAUUCCAAAGAAUAUCUAAAGUGUUCAAAACUAAUUAACGAAUAUAAAAUAUUAAUUUAAGGACUAAAAAUCAUACUAGAAAAAUUGAUCUUCAAAUCCUAAACCUCCAAAUCUUCAACCGUAUGCUCUCUAAUAUUUCUAAUCUCUAUGUAAAAGGGUUUUAUGAAUAGAAAGGAUGGGAAAAGUCUAAUUUAUGCCUAGGAGUUUUAAAUACAAAAAGACAUGUUUACCCUUAUUAAAUUACUUAAUUAAUUAUUAAUUUUUAAAUUACGAUUUUACCCUUAAAUUGGGUUUAGGGCAUUACAUGCACACUGUUCCCACUCUUGCAAAGGUUGCGCACCUGAGAAAACUCCUUCCAAUGAUUUGUACACUCACCAAAGUAAUGCAAGCAUCUAAGCCUUAAGUCAUCAUCUAUACUAUCAAUUCUCCCAUACUGAUUGCAUUGAAAGCCAAGUGCAACCACCAACUCCAAGGUGAUAAGUCAAGUACAAGAAAGAUGGCUAGUCGACUACAUUGACACAUGAUCUGAUCCCUAACAUGGGCAAGAGGCAGUUCUAGGAGAAUAGUUUGAUCAAUAACAAUGGAUUACCUAAAGGGAAACCCAUCUAUAAAUAGAGGAUUGUCUGGGCGCGCACACGCACACACACACACACACACACACACACAUAUAAAUAUGUAUGUAUGUAUGGGGAGAAGAAAAGAAAAAAAAGGAAUGUUGUAGAGUUUGAAUCUUGAAUGGAGAUGAUAUUAACCUUUUUAGGAUUUAGUUAGGAAUUUAUUUUGGUAAUUAAAAUGAAAAUUAAUUAUUUGGAUAGGAUUUGUUAGAUAGUUUCCAAUUUCUUUCUAUAUAUUUUCCUUAUUUUUGUAGGUUUCCUACAGUUAUAUAAAUAGAGGACAUUUUCUCUUCUUUUCUCUAUGAAUGAAUAUAUGACUAGGUAAAAUUAAGCUACAGGUUUCUUAAUGGUAUCAAAGCCAACAUCUAAUUACUAGGAAUAAUGGUUAAAAUAGCAAUGAUAGGUGCUUCCAAUUAUGAUAACAACUUGAAGGAGGCAAAAAGAAAACCUAUCCCUCAUUAGAAUUUUGUGACCAAUGGUGAUGGUCACUCUUCUUAGCUAAUUACCUCUCACAAAUUAAGUUAAUGGAGAAAAUUAUCUUUAAUGGUCUCAAUUUGUCAAACCUUUCAUUCGUGGGCAUGGACAAUUUGAAUAUUUUAUUAGAGCAACAUCAACACCACAAGGAACAAUUCUCAUUGAGGCAUAAGAAGUAGAUAAUGCCAGAUUAUGUCAUGGCUGAUCAACUCAAUGGAACUCAAGAUUAGGAAGACAAACAUGUUCAUGCCCAUAACUAGAGAGAUCUAGAAGGCUACCAAGGAAACCUAUUACGACUUAGUAAUUUGCUCAAGUCCAUAAGAUAGCCAUACAAAUAAAAAAUACCAAGCAAGGUAAUAUGAAUGUAAUUCAGUACUAUAAUAUACUUAAAACUCUUUGGUAAGAACUUAAUUUGUUCUAUGAUUAUGAAUAACAUUGUGCAUAAGAUAGUGAAAUGUUCUAAAAGAUGAUGAGAAGGAUCGAGUAUUUGCAUUCCUAGUGGGGUUUAAAUAAUAAAUUAGAUGAGGUUUACCUCUUUACUUAACAUUACCCUAGUUAUAAAAAAACCAAUCAGCUUCACAUUUCGGCCAAUGAUCUAAAAUUCAAAAGAAUUCAUGGAAGGCCCUAGUGUGACCAUCAUCUCCUCUAAAUGCUUCCAGAAUUCAAAAUAUCCAUUGACAAGUGAUUAACCAUCAUAUUUUCCAAAUGCAUCUUUAGAUGUCAUAUACCCAAAGGUGUUCAAAUUCGUAAGAUAUUGACCAAGUCUAGAUAUUAAGAAGGUAUAUCAUCCUUUACCAUUGGAAAGAAGAAGAUACAUUAUCCUCUACUAGUGAAAGCACAUAUGCCAUCAUCUCAACAAAUCAAGCAUGCAUGCAAAUUUGUCUUCUUGGUCUUCUAAUUGUAGUCAAGCAAGUAUUAAUGAAGUACUUAAUUUGUAGCAUCUGUUUAUCAUCUAUAGUGGUUGUAGUUUCUAAUCCAAUAAUUGCACUCCUUUGAAAGUGGUACAAAUUAUUCUUCCUUAUUCCUUGCAUCACCACAAGUUUACUUGGCAUAACUUUCAAAAUCCCAUAUUUUAUAGUAACAAUAUUGAACCCUAUGGGUUCUAAUACUCCAAUUGAGAUGAGACACUUAUUCAUACUAGGAACAUACCAAACAUCACUCAAAAUUUUAGUUGAUUCAUCAUGAGUCUUCAAUUGGAUGGUAUCUAUUAUUGUUAUCUCACAAGCAUUAUCAUUCCCCAUGUAAACAACUCCAUUUGUAGUUCUUCAAAGCAAGAAAACCACUCCUUGUAAGAAUGCAUGUGAAGGUGGACCCAAUAUCCAAAAUCCAUUCAUCUAAGUUAUAAAACAAGGAUAAGCAAACCAAAGCAAAGUUUGACCCAUCUUCUCCAAACUUAGCCACAAAAGCAUCGAAUACUAUUUAUUCUUUAUUCUUAUUCUAUAGCUUAGGACAAUCAUUAUUCUGACACUACCAAAAAUUAAGUAUGGUUGACCCAUUUAUAUUUACUUUUCGGACAUAUUUAAGUUGACGCAAAUUUCUAACACACCUAUUCCAUCACAAAUUGAAUUGUCCGUCGCUUAUAUUUACCAAUAGUAAUUGCAACAACAAAUACCUACUGGCAAAAAUAUUAUUGCAAUGGAUUUAAACCAUUGCAAAUGUUCAACUAAUAUACUUUGUUACAAAAGCAAUUUACCUAUAAAAUAGAAAAAAAAAAGUGAACUUUCAAAAAUAAUUUUUUCUAUGAAAAUUACUACUCACUAAAAUAGUUUUAUUAUAGUGGAUAAUAAUACCACUCAUAAUUUGUUCCAAAAGUAAUUGUAGUCAUAUGAAUAUAAAAUCUUUUCACCAUAGUUUUAUGCUAAAUAUGAUCUAGCUAGUGACAAAACAAUUUUAUGAUUAUUUUUUUAGGUUCAUACAAUAUUUACAUAUUUUUUUAAUCAUAAUUGUUUUAACAUUUUAAUAUUUUUUUAACUACUUUUUAUUGUCCAUUUUAGAAAGAAAUAAAUUUAAAAUUAUUGAUAUAUAUAUAUAUAUGUAUGUAUGUAUGAUAUAAUUUAUGAUAUCGAAUAAUAAUAUUGAAAAUUUAAAAAUACAUUUUAUAGAGAUUUAUCUAAUUUGAAUGUAUUCAAUAACAUAAAAAAUGAUAGUACAUGUAUAAGUAUUUUUAUUUUAAAAUGUUGACAAUUUUAUUUAUAAAUUUACAUUUAUUUUAUAUUUAAUUAUUAUACAAAAUACACAAGAAUCAAAAUUAAUUAAUUAAUAAUAAUUUUAUUUUAAUUAAUUUAUAAUAUAUAUAUAUAUAUUAAUUCAUGCAUGUAUAAUUUAUAUAUAAUAUGUAUUUAUAUAUAGAUAAUAUUUAUAAUAUAAAUGCAUAAGUAUAUGAUAUUUACAUUUAUGAAUCUUAUAUACAUUCUUUAUAUCACACAUAACAAAGUUGACUUGGUGGCACAAUUGCUUCCUUUCAAACUUGAGGUCAAGGGUUCAAUCUCAAGAAACAACAUCCAAGCCAAUAUCCAAAACUAGCAAGGAGAGGAGUGUACAAGAUGCUCCAUGUGAAUGUAAUGAAAUCGAAAUUUCAUGACAACCUAAAAUCUUUUAUUAUUUAUAUUUCUCAACCAACUUAAUUUGUUGGUAAUAGUGAUGGUCUAAAUUCAAUGGAUAGUUUGUUGCUAAAUAUUUUUUAUUGGCAACGGAAAAUUCCCAUCAAUAGACUUUUUCCAACACACCUUUCCUCUCCUACCAUGUGAUGGGAUUAUCGAUUGGUAAAUGUUUAUUUCGACUGUGUAUAUUAGUCGAGAAAAAUCAAAUUUCUUGUAAUGCGAUGACCCUUGUCAUGAAAAAAGACACAUUCAUCUUUUGCAAGUAUACAUUUAAAUUAAGAAUUAUCUUCUUUUCUAGGUUUUCAACUUUGAGAUUUGUCAUUAACUGUUAAAGCUUCCAAAGAUAUAUCUCUAUGAUCGCUUUGGUCCUUUCUUCCUUUAUUCAGAGCUUAGCAAAGUGGAACACACAACAUUGAAAGUAAUCUUAUCCUUACUAGAAAGUAAGGUGAUGGUAAGAUUUUCAUACACAUUAAGAAACAAAUUCAAUAACAAUAAGGCCUUAUUCUCAUCUUCAAUGAUCUCAUCUAAAUUCAACAAAUUUGCUCUGAUUCUAUCAAAUGCAUGCAUAUGAUCAUUCAUAGACAUAUCUAGUUGAUACUAGAAGCAAAAAAGUUUUUUCUUCAAAUAUAGUUGAUUUUCUAGACCUUUUUUCAUAUACUUGUCUUCCAAUGUCUUCCAUAAAUGUUUUUGUGGAUAUCUCUUUCAUAAUGGAAUAAUUUUAAGCUUUAACAAGAUAUAAGUGGAUGGAACUAUAAAAUUGACAAUUGAUCCCUUACCCAUUUUUUAUCAUUCAUGUUUUCAAGUUUUUCUUCCAAAACAAUAUCCAAAUCCUAUUGACAUAUCUAAUUAGUGCCUCUUACUGCCACAUUCCAAAAGUACUAGUCCUAUCAAGUUUCUCUAUUACAAAUUUCGCAUUAGUAACCAUAGUUUCAACUAACAAAGUUUUUACCUUUUCUUUUAACUAGUGCAAUAACAAAUAACCUUGAACUAACCUUGAAACCAACCUUGGAUAGAACUAAUGCUCUUAUACCAUUUUUUUGUUCUUUAACCUAAUCCCACAAGACUUCCAAAAGUACCAAAUAAAAUACAAACUAAACUAGUCCAUAAUAUAAAGAGAAAAUUUAUGAGGUUUAGUAAGGAUGUCUUACCUAUAUCAUUAGACAAUGAUGAUCAAUCCACUAAUCUUCAAAUCAAAAUUACAAAAUCAAGUUGGGAAAGAUUGUCUCACAAAGUGGCUGCAAUUACAAAGAUUGACUGAAGCUACUAUAACAACUUUGCUAAAGUCAUCCUCACACUACUAUGAUGAAAAGACUUAAGACUCAUUUAUAGAACCUAAAUAAGUCCCUGAGCCUUGACAAAACUAAUUCAUAAUUCUUAUGGGACAAGGACUCAUAACAUAUAGCAAAUUAUGAAAUCAUAAUCCCUAUAGGACAAGGAUCCCUAAAAUAUAUUAAACUCUUAAUUGAGCUAAAAGCCAAUACCUAAUAUAGAACCCACACCAUAUUUGCCAUAACUCUACUUAGUAGAUGGUUGUAAAGCAAAAUUAUCACUUUCAAAAGUUAAAUAAUCAUUUAUUUUUCCUUCCCUUUCCAUUUUUCUUAUCAUCCAAACGACAACAAUAAAAAAUGUAGUGUAACUUUUGUUACUUUGCUACUUGUUCUCUCAAGUUACUUGCCUGCUUGUGAAUGACCUCUAUAAUAAAAGUAAAUGGAGAAAUAAUUUGGAGUUCCAAGAUAUAGGUAGAAAAGAGUGGAAAAAACCCUAGUUCUACAAAAUAGUUUGCAAUUUUGUCUCUAGAUUUCUCAUUUUCGUGGUAAUGGCCAUUGAAGAUGUCAUCACUGAGAAGAUCACAAAGUAAAGAAGGCAUGACUGAGGGUUGGUAGAGUAGAGAGUUAAGGUAGAAAAUAGCAAAUAUAGGAUUUUGACGUUUUUAGAAUUUGUAAAUAAAAAAAAAUAGAAUCCAAAAAUCACUUUAAGAACAUUAGGUUGAAUUAGGGCACAAGGAAUGGCUACCACAUGUAUGCUAGGUGAAAUAUUAGUGUUUUUUUCUUUUUUUUGUCAUGGUUAAGGAUUUGAGUAACUAAAGCCUCAAUAAAGUCUUUGAGGUAUCCACUAAAGAGCACAAGGAGUGUUGCAUGGGGGCGUGGAAGAAGAAUGUAAGUUACGUGUAUCUUGUUUUUAUAUUUAGUAGAUUGUUUGUGGUUGAUAAACUAUUCAUGUAAUGAGCUGCUCCCAACCGUGUAGAUAUCGCCCACUUUGGACCCAAAGGGGCCCUCAUGGCUUUAAAAUGCCUCUACAGAGUUAAGAGAAGUCCAUACUUAUAUAGCGCCAAGAACUUUCCCCCCUAUCCGAUGUGGGAUGUCAGAAACAUCCCCUUCCCCAUGUAGACACAAUGUCCUCAUUGUGUCCCACGAGAUUGCGGGGCCAAACAAAUGAACACCCCUACGGGGCCAAACAAACCCCCGAACUGAGGUCAAAGAUCGACUUUGAUACCAUUUGUAACGACCCAUUCCCAACCGUGUAGAUAUUGUCUACUUUGGACCCAAAGGGGCCCUCAUAGCUUUAAAACGCAUCUACAGAGUUAAGAAAAGUCCAUACUUAUAUAGCGCCAAGAACUUUCCCCCCUAUCCAAUGUGGGAUGUCACAAACACCCCCAUCUCCCACCCUAUUAUAUAAAUAUAUUAUUAUUAUUAUUAUUAUUACUUUCAAAAGACCGUACAACACCAUUACUCCAAGCCACCAACUACACCCAUUAUUAUUAUUAUAAUAACAUCAUAUUUUUUUUCUUUUGUUUCUUCCUUCUUGGACAUCCACAUGCAUUUUUUUUUCUGUUUUUUUUUUUUUUUUUUUGUGACAUCCCACAUCAGAUAAGGGGAAGUUCCUGGCAUUAUAUAAGUAUGGACUCCCCGUAACCCUGUAGACGCGUUUUAAAGCCAUGAGGGCCCCUUUGGAUCCAAAACAGACAAUAUCUACACGGUUGGGAGCGGGUCAUUACAAAUGGUAUCAAAGCCAAUCCCCAAUCCUCGGUGCGGGGUUUGUUUGGCCCCGUAAGGGUGUUUGUCUGUUUGACCCCACAAUCUCGUGGGACAUUACAAGGUUGUUGUGUCUGCAUGGGGGUGGGGUGUUUGUGACAUCCCACAUCGGAUAGGGGGGAAAUUUCUUGGUGCUAUAUAAGUAUGGACUUCUCGUAACCUUGUAGAUGCAUUUUAAAGUCGUGAGGGCCCUUUUGGGUCCAAAACAGACAAUAUCUACAUGGUUGGGAGUGGGUUGUUACAAUUCACGGAUUUUUACACCCAAAAAGUUUUAAGCGGUUUUUUCAUGUUGCAUUUUGUGUCAUAUGUUUGAUUGAUUAUUCCUAUUCAAAGAAUUGAUGAAAAAUUAAUUAUAAUUGAUAUAGCUAGGUGUUUAGGAAUGUUUCUAUUUAAAGUGCUUUUAAUUGAAUUUUUUUAAGAAGAUUUUUUAAAGAAUCACAUCUCAAGAGCUUCUCCAAAAAGCAUUACAAGUGAUUUUUAACUUUUUAAAGAAUGUUUUCUAAGUUUUUCCAAGUGUAUAGUUUUUCUCUAAAAACAUUUUUUUUUUUUUUAAUACCAGAAGCGUUUUCUAAAAGUACUACUAAAUGGACUCUUAACUUUUAAGGAUAUUUAACUUAGACAACCCAUUCAUCCCCCUCACUAUAUAGUUUUGUGUCUCAAGAUAAAAGUUCUCUCCUUUAUUUUAACAUAAUCUUUGUUUGAAGAAUUGUUCUAAUUUUUACUUGACUUUUGUUUUUAAUAUGUCUUCCUAGGCUUUUAAUGAUCCCAUAAAUUGGUCAAUGGCUAUAGAAUCCAAAUAUUUAGGCUUUUCAAUAACAAAAAAAUAAAAGAUGAAAACUUUUUUUUUUAGUUACACAAAUAUCAUUAAACUUUCACCAUUUAUUUUUACCUAAUUUACAUAUGUCAAUAUUUUUGAAAAAUAAUCAAAGAUUAUCUUAUAUUUAAACUUUAAAAUUCACUUUUAAAAGUAUGAAAUUGAACUUUAAAAAAAAAAAAACACUUAUCAACACUUUUAUAUUUUUUGUAAUAUUUUUCAUGUUUCCUUUGACCUAGUUCCACUUAAAAUCAUUUCAAAGGUGUCUACAUCUAUUUCUUAAUAAAUGAGGUUAAAAGCCUUCUUGUCUUUCUUUCUUAUAUAUUCGAAAAGUCUAUUUAAUUUUGGGAUAGAUUGGUUUUAUCCUAUAGCUCCUUGUAGUUUUUCUCUACAAUCUCUUGUAUAUCUUGCAACCAAAUAAAACCUUUGUCUUGAUAUUCAAAUCAUCAAAAUUGUUAAAACUGUCUUUAUUGAGUUAAGCAACUUAAUUGGAUUACACGUCUUUUGAAAAAUAAAAUAAAAUAAGAAUCUUAUCAUACACAUAAAUUUCGUGAAAGUCUUGCAACAUAUAGGGGGUAGGCCUUGAAGUUACAGUGACAAUUUAUUCCACUAAAAAUUUUGAUCUCUACAUUGAUAUCACAAUUUUUUUUUUUUUGGGAGUAAUAGGGAUAAAUACACAAAUAAUAGUACUAUUAAAAGAGAUAAAUAGAGGAGGAAAUUCAAAGAAAUUUAUUGUGUUUUUAAUACUUUAAUUGAAGUAUUAUAUACAAAACUCCAAUUACAAUAUGUUUUAAUUCACUUUUAAAAACUAAAUCAAAUGUAAUUUUUGAAAACUUCUUGGAACUCAAAUUUAGAUUUCGACGUGUGAUUGAAUGAUAGGGAUGAUAAAAAAUAGGUAAAUAAAACAUAUGUAAUAUUAUUGUAUAUUAUUAAUCUCUUCCAUACCAUUAGCAUAUCAAUGGCAUCUUGCUAAGAAGAAGAACCACCAACAACAGUCCAUUAUAACAGUUUCGGAAUGAAUGACAUUUAUUUGUUUGUAUUCUAUUGUUUUUCUAUUUAGGCCAUAUUCACAUGAACUGACUUUUUGUUUGGAGUAGUGUUUUAGUAGAGUAUUCGUAGCACACCUAGAUAUAGCCUAUGGGUUGCAUUAAUUAAUGGUUUUGGCCCAACUUAACAAAAUUCUAUGCUAUCAUAAAGUAGCUGAUUGCCCAUGAUUGCGCAAUGCCAUCAUAAAGGAACUGAAUGCCCAACACACGUACAUGUGAGGUACCAUAUUUUUUAAGAAAGACAAGUCGGUUUGCAAUUGAUGUUAAUAUCUUUCCAAGGCAAAAACAUCAUUUUGUAGGUAUAAUUGAAUUUGUUAAACUUAAACCCCAAUUGACAUUCUUUCAAGUAAAAUCAUUUUUAACCUAUAAUGCUCAACACUUUUAUGAGAAUCAUAAAAGUAUCAGAAUCAUAGAGAAUUAUUGAAAGUGAUUUUGUAGUGUUGUUGAUAAUAUGUCACAUGACUAUAAAAAUGCUUUUAAUAUUAGUAGAUUAUAAAAAAGGACAUCAAAUUUAAUUUCAAGGAAAUAUUAUAAUAAACUAAUACUUUUUCAUGAUAAAAGAAUAUAUAAACAUUUAUAGUAAAAGAAUAUAUAAACAUCUAUAUAACUAACAAAAACUAAAAGAUAAUAGUUCUUGUGAUUAUAAGAAAAUUUUAGAAAAUAUUUGCAACAUGAUUUGGAUUAAUAAACAAACAUCAAUCAUAAUAUAAUAAUUUUUAAAACAAAAAAAAAUCAUUUGAUUAUUUAUUCACUUAAAAAUAAUAAUUUUUUAUUACUACAAAAUUUUGAAAAAUACUUACAAAAAAUCUAUAUUAAUAAUGAAAAAUUGAAUAAAAACAUAUUAGUUUAGUUUCUAAAAAAAAAAAUAGUAAUUAAAAGCAAAUUAGAAGACAAAUUUUCUCAUAGUAAAAAAAUGAGAAAAUUAUAUAUAUAUUUUUUCAUAUUAGUGUUAUAAUAAAACAUCAACAAGAUAUAAAAUGACUAGCAAUUCGAUCACAUUCUUCUUACAUCUCUCUUGCAUGAUAGAACCAUCUUUCUCAACUCAUGAGUCCACUCUACUCUUUUUUUUAUUAAAGCAGAUGUUACCCUUGAUCAUCAUCAUAAGGUUUAAAUUUCAUAUCUAUCCUAGCAUUAAUCAUUAUUAAGUUGUAAAAACCAUCAAAGUAAUAACAAUGUUGACUUAUUUUUCAAGAGGAAAACUAUGCAUUUCUCAUAUUGUUCCACAUCUAUUCUUCAAAAAGGCAAAUGUUCAAUUGUUCUCCUCAAAGAUGUCUAUGGUUAAAUAUUUCCUUCUUACCUCUUGGUAAACUACUCCAUCAAAAUCUAGAAGAUGGUAACACUCGCCCUUUAAGGGCCUAAUUAUAUAUCCACUCAUUUGAGGAUAACCACAUUGAGUAAAUAAUAUUUACCUACAAAACAAAAAAUACUUAUAUAUAAGAUUAUGAAAAUCUAAUCACAAAAGUAACUUUCACAUUUUUAGUCAAAAUCUCUAGAAGGAUGAGGAAAACCCAAUUCUAGCCUUUUUCUAAUGCCUAUGAAAAGACACAUGCAUCAUGAGCAAAACCUUCCCAUCUAGUCCCUUCAUCCGUGGUUGGUGCUAAGACCAUGUUCUAACACCAAUAAUUAUGACUCAAGGAGAAGAUGCAAAAUUGAGAGAACAAAUUUUUCUUAUUGAGAUUAUUUUUCCUUUUCUUUCCCCAUUACACUCUUCUUAUUUUAUAUAGGAAACUAUAUAGAAAUUAAAGAUUGAAAGAUCUUAGGGAUCCUUUAUUCCCUAAUCUAAAUAGAAACUAAAGAUUGAGGGAUUCUAAGAAUCCCUUAUUCAGGUUGAAACAUAAAAUUGAUCUACAGUUUCAUUGAGAGGAAAAUAAAUCAUUAUAAAAAACUAUCUAAAGUCAUAUUAUCAUUGUUUGAGAAGGAGAAUUGAUUCAAAUUUUAGUUGAUUAUAUAGUAGAAACUAAUUAUAUUGGUAGAUUUUUCAAGGGAUGUCCAUAUCUUCAUCUUCAUCACCAUCCAUUGAUGAAACCCUAGCCCUAACCUUAAAAUUAAAUCUAACCUCAAUUCCCAACUUCUCUAUCACUUCCCUUAAGACCCACCAUCACCAACCCAUCCUCUUUGGCUCUAAAAUCCUAGCAUAAUUCUGCUUCUAUCACUUCCAUUAAUCUCUAUUUACAACCUCAUCUAUGCCAUUACCUUUGCAUACAUAUUCCCAAAAAAUUAGUUUUACUUUUUGUAGAAAAAGGAGUUGGAGUUGGGGGUGAAAUCAUAGUAAUCCCAUUCUUAAUGGGUUAAUCAAUGAAUGAUAAUAAAAUGACAUUUCAGUAGAUAUUUAAAGAAAGUAAGGUUGAAAAAUAGUUAGAAUAAAAUUGUAUCUCUGCUUUUAGUAUAUAGUAUAGACAUGUCCUUGGUUAAAGACUAAGAAACAUGUGAUAAUAAAUAAAAUCCUAUUAAGAACUUGUUUAGUAGUAUUUUUAAGAAGAGUGUGUAGCAUUUUUAAUAAUUAAAAGAGUUUAUUUGGGUGAAAAAUAGAUGUUUGGCAAGAUUUCAAAAACACUUUUAAGAACCUUUAAAAGAAAAAAAUCACUUGAAGUAAUUUUUGGAAAAGCACUUGAGAGAUGAUUAUUUAAAAAAUACUUUUAAAAUUUUCAAAUAUAGCUAAAAUAACCCUAAGUGUUACCCAAUAACCCACUUUUUCCCUUUCAACAAGCAUUCUCUUUCUCCUUCACUCUCCAUAGUCCAAGCAGUCUUCUUCUACACUUUUCAUGAUUCCAAUUCUCACCAUUUUCUCAUUAACAAUGACUCUUUACAUCCAUAGUUGGAGGUACUUUCCGUUCCACAUUUCUAUUUAAUUACUUAGAAAAUGGAAGUAAAACAUUAUAUGAGUCUUUUGAUUACCUUGUUUUCCUUUGAUUAUAUUUUCUUAUAAAGUCCUUCUCAAUUUGUUAUUUUACUAUUAUAAUGUUUUUUCAUAAAAUUAAUUUUUUUGUGAAUGAUUGAAAUCAAAUUUUUGUGCACUGAGAUUCGUGCUUUCUCCUACCUAGACUCAAAUUUCAUGAAAUUUUUUUAUGGGUUGCAUCAAAAAAGAGAUGUGGAAAUGGGAGGGCAAUUAAUGAAGGAAAUUACAACUACUAGGGGUGAUAUAUUGAUUUGGUUUGUAAUUAGCUAAAAUCUAUGUUGUUUGUGUUAAUAGUUGAGAGUGAUUUAUGCCCAUGCGGAUCAAGAAAAGGUGAGGAAGGCAUUUGAUGAAAUGCCAAAUAGAGAUGUUAUUAAUUGGAAUAUAAUAUUUGAUGGGUAUGUUAAGGUAGGAGAGAUAAAUACAACAUUUGAGUUGUUUGAGAAGAUGACAGACAAGAAUGUUUUGUCUUGAUCCUUGAUGGUCUUGGGUUCUAGCAAUGCUAGAGAUAUGACUAUGGAAAGAAUGUUGUUUGAGAAAUUAUGUUUUGUAACCCUACUAAAUUGAAGGUUUGACAGGCCUAGAAAUGAUGGAAUAUCAUUAAAAUUCAUAGAAUCUGUAGGUUUUAGAAUCUAGAAGUGCUGGAAGCAACAACCAAAAGUUGUAUUUGAGACAACGAAAAUGUAUACUCUUAUUGAAUGAUCAAUGCAACAUUUAUACACAAGGUUGCAACAGAAAAAAAUAGAAAAGUAGCAAAAAUAAUUGGAACUAACAACUAUUUCCUAUAAAAUAGCAACAACAACAUAAUAACUCCAUGAAACUCUAUCAACUUCAUAGACUAAGUUGUUUUAUGCUUGCAACCUCAAUUUCAACAUCUCUUCACACCUCAACAACCUUCUUAACAGAUUCUUAAGCUUCCUUAGUUCACAACAACUUUCAUACGUUUUCCAGCAUGAUUGUAGCUACUUAGGCAUUUUUCUUAACACUCCUCCUUGGCUUGGGAGCUACAAACUCUAAGUAUUUUUGCUGCGAUAUUCAAACCUAGCUCUUGGUAUAGCUUUUGUUAGAAUAUCAACAUUUUGUACUUCUAUUUUACAAUGUACCAAAGUUACUUCUCCAUCAUGUUGUAUUUUCCUUAAGAAAUAAAACUUGAUUUUGAAGUGCUUUGUCUUGCCAUGGAAUACUGGAUUACUUGCAAUUGAAAUUGCAGCUAGAUUGUCAUCAAAGACUUGUGUGCUCCUAGUUUGCUCCAUGUAUAAGUCUAUUAGCAGCUUUCUUAUCUAAAGUGCAUGAUUUGCAGUAGCAGUAGCAAUGUACUCUGCUUCAACUGUGGAUUGUGCCAUGAUAUCCUCUUUUUUAGAGCACCAUGAGAAAAAACUUGAACCAAAACUAAAGCAAUAAGCUGAUGUGUUUCUCAUAUCAUCAACGUAGCUAGCCCAAUCACUAUAAGAAAAUCUAUGAAAAUGAAAAUUCUGCACCUACUUGAACUUGAUGCCAAAGUCAAUAGUGCUUUUUAUAUAUCUCACAAUACGUUUUGCUGCCUAUAAGUGAAUUUCCCUAGAACAAUGCAUGUAUCUUGAGAUUAAACUUACAACAUGUACUAUAUCUGGCCUUGUUGUAGUCAAAUACAUCAAGCAUCCAAUCAUGCUUUUGUAUAACUCUUCAUUUACUUUUUCAACACCAUCUUCUUUGCAAAACUUUUCUUUUUGAUUCAUAGGUGUAGUUGUGGGCUUGCAUUUCUCCAUCUUGAAUUUUUUUAGAAUUUCCUUUACAUACUCCUAUUGACAGAUGAAUAUCUCAUGCUGAUUUUGAUGCACUUCCAUUCCAAGGAAAUAAGACAUGUCUCCAAGAUUUGUCAUCUCAAAGACCUUCUCCAUUUCAUCUUCGAAUUUAUCCAUUAAUCAUUGAUUGCUUCCUAUUACAAGCAAAUCAUCAACAUAUAAUGAAAUAAUAAGUAUGCCAGCAUUAAUUUUUCUAACAUAAAGUGUGGAUUCACUUUGACUUUUUUUAAAUCCCAAACCAAGCAGAUGUACAUUAAUCAUGUUGUACCAAGAUCUAGAGGCUUGCUUCAAGCCAUACAAGGCUUUCUUUAGUUGAUAAACCUUGUCUUCUUUGUCUUUUAUUGCAAAUCCUUUAAGUUGCUCCACAAAGAUUUCCUCCUCAAGGUAGCCAUUUAGAAAAGUUGAUUUUACAUCUAGCUGAUAGAUUUUCCAACCCUUUUGAGCAGCCAAAGCUAGCAACAUUCUUAUUGUAUCCAACUUAGCUACAAGUGCAAAGGUUUCUAAAAAUUCCACACUGAACAUUUGAGCAUAACCUUUGACAACCAGCCUGGCUUUAUGUUUGUUUAUAGAACCAUCAUAAUUGAGUUUGGUUCUAUAAACCCACUUGACACCAAUGGCCUUUUUAUGUGUUGGUUUGUCAACUAACUCAUAAGUGUUGUUUUUAUCUAUCAUGCUAGCUCCUCCCACAUUACAACCCUUCUUUUUUUUUUUAUCCUCAAUAGUUUCAUUAAACUUUAUAGGCUCAAACACAGCCACAUUACACCUAUGAUAAAUAUCAAAAAGUGAUUUGGUGCUUCAUACAGGAAUGUCACCAAUAUUUUCAUCAAGGAACUCAAAGUUCUGAUUUUUUUAGCAUCCCAACUCCAUUUAUCAUCCUCCAUGAAUUUGACAUCUAUGCUAACAAUGACUUUGUUAGCAUGAGGCAUAUAGACGCUAUAAGUCUUUGAUUGGUUGUUGUAUCCUACAAAGAUCCCAAUUUCUGCCUUUUUAUCUAACUUGUCCUAUUUCACCUGAGGCACAUAACUAAAACAAAGGCAACCAAAUGUUUUUAAGUUUAAUGACAGAGGUUUAUAUCCAAACCAAGCCUUGAAAGGAGUCUUUUUUUGCAAAGCUUUAGUUGAGAGUCUAUUCAGUAGAAACACUACAGUGUUUGCGGCUUUAGCCUAGAACUUUUUUGGUAGCCCUUUCUCAUGCAAAAGGCAUCUUGUCAUCUCCAUUAUAGUCCUAUUCUUCCUCUUUUCCACUUCAUUCUGUUGUGGUGUGUAAGGUGCAGUCAGUUGGUGCUCUAUGCCUGCUUCUUCAUAGAAAUUAUUGAAUCUUUCAGAAGUAUAUUCAGUGUCAUUAUUUGUCCUUAUAACCUACAUGACGACACCACUUUGGUUUUCUACUAGGGCCUUGUACUUCUAAAAUACAUCAGCAACCUCAAAUUUAAAAUUUAGGAAAAAAUCCAACCAUAUUUGGUAUAAUCAUCUAUAAAGGCAAUGUAGUACUUACUGUCCUUUAGAGACGGUGUUCUCUAAGGUCCUCCAACAUCAGUGUGUACAAGUUGCAGCUUGUGUGAUUAUCUCCAUGUAGAUUUCUAUGGGAAAGGAAGUCUGGAUUGUUUUCCAUACUGACAGGCUAUGCAAGUAGGAAGAUUUUGCUUUAGGUCAGGUAUACCUACUACAAGUUGAUUUUUCUUCAUGUAAAGCACUCCAUUAUGAUGAAAGUGCCCCAAUCUCUUAUGGCAUAAAGCUCUAACAUUAUUUUCUUGAGAAACAGCAGCCUACUCUUUCUCAAGCAAAUUCAAGGCAAAGUUUUUGCCUCUCAUCUUGAUCUUGAAUACAUUUUUUCCAUUUGCAUCCUUGAUCAUACAGAACUUGUCCUCAAAUAGCACCUUGAAACCUUUCUCAAGUAGCUGCCCAACACUCAAGAGAUUUUGAUCAAUAUUAGGAACGAACAAAACAUUAGGGACAAGUUUCAAACCUGAGAGACUUUCAAUGGCAACAGUCACUUUGCCCCUUGCUGAGAUGUAUUCCCCAUUUCCAAUUCUUACUUUGGAAACGAUUGUUUUUUCAAGUUCCUUAAAAAGUCCUUGAUCAUAAGUCAUGUGGUUUGUGCAGCCACUAUCUAUUAGCUAACUUUCAGACAUGUUUUUGCUAGCAAAACAGGUGGCAACAAACAACUAUUCUUCGUGAUAUUGAUCAACAACUGUAACCUUGAUCUCUUUUUCUUGUUUUGUUUUGCAUAUCUCCUCCAUAUGACUUAAUUGACCAUAAUUGUUGCUCUUGACAUCUGGCCUCCACCAGCACUUUUGUGGAGGAUGAUUUGUUUUUUUGCAAUGAGGGCAAGGUGGAUGGGCUCAUUUCUUAUUCUUUUUGUUAUUGCUUGACUUGUUUUUCUUUCUGUCUUUGUUGGAAUCAUUGUUUUGUGAUUUGGCUUGGAAUGCUCCCUCAACAUAUCCUUUUUGUCUCAUCAUUCUCCUUUGUUCCAAGGCCUGCAAAGCAUUAACAAUUUUUGCCAAAGAUAUACUUGACAAAUCUUUAGAGUUUUCCAAGGAAGAGAUUGUGGCUUUAUAUUUUUCAGGCAGAGUUCCUAAGAUUUUCUAAACAAUUCUUUCAUUAGAAAAUUCCUUACCAUACAAUCUUACCUUGUUUGCUAUGCUAAGUAGUUGUUCAGCAUAAUCUUUGAUAGUUUGAGACUCUUUCAUUAUGCUUAUUCCAAAUUCUCAUAUUAAAUUCAUUACCUGCAUAUUCUACACCCUUUCAUUCCCCUGAUACUCAUUUUUUAGAUACUCCCAGAUUGCUGCAGCAGACUCCAUUUGCAUGAUUCUGGUGAGAAUGGAAGGUGAAACUAUAGAGAAAAGGUAACCAUUUCCUUGUUUUUAUUUCCCUAUGAAUCUUCAUUUGAUUGAUACUUGGAUUGUCUCCAAGUGGUGGUACUUCAUAAUCUUCUUCUAUUGCCUCCCAAAGAUCCAAAGCUUCAAGGUGGACUAUCAUUCUAAUAGCCCACGCCUGAUAAUUAUCACCGUUGAAAACUGGUACUGACAGAAAGCUUGUAUCUCCAUCCAUUUGCUAUAGAAUGAUAGUUACAAGCUGUUAAAGGUUGUGUGUUUAUGUUGGCUUUGGAGUUCAGUACGUGUGAAGGUAUUUUGGCUUCACUCAAUCCUCACAGGUCCCUUAAGAUAGAAGGCUUUGAUACCAAUCUGUAGGUUUUAGAAUCUAAAAGUGUUGGAAGCAACAACCAAAAGUUGUAUUUGAAAUAAUGAAACUGUCUACUCUUAUUAAAUGAUCAAUGCAACAUUUACACACAAGUUUGCAAUAGAAAACAAUAGAAAAGUAGCAAAAAUAACUGGAACUAAGAGCUAUUUCCUAUAAAAUAGCAACAGCACCAUAACAGCUCCAUGGAACUCUAUUAGCUUCAUUGACUAAGUUGUUUUAUGGUUGCAGCCUCAAUUUCAGCAUCUCUUCACACCUCAGCAACCUUCUUAAUAGAUUAUUAAGCUUCCUCAGUUCACAACAACUUUCACACGUCUUCCAUCACGUUUGUAGCUACUAAGGCAUUUUGCUCAACACUUGCCAAACCAACAAGAUUUUAAUCAUAAGGUCAUUAGUAAAGGAUUUGAUAAUUUGGCAAUGAAAAUGAUGAAUUUUAUUGUUUCUUUUAGAAAAUUUAUACAAGAAUGCAUUGUGAAUUAUACAAAGAAAGAAAUAACAAGUAUCCUAAAAUUAAGGAAAAUAAAUAUUAUUUCCUAAAUUAAGAGAAUAAAAUAUUAUUAAUAUUUGAUUGUUCGUUAUUUAUUUAAAAUAAAUAUUAUAUCCUAAAUUAGGAGAAUCAAAUAUUUUAAAGUUUCAUUACCCUUUAUUUAUGAAAAUAUUAAUUGAAGCGGAUUUUUAUCAUCCUACGUGUUGCCAUCCUAUGUGCUUUUUGUCUUAUUUUAUUCUUUCCCUUAAUAUGCAAGCUCAAAUUGGCGUGGGAAAGAAUAUGCACACCUAGCUUAUCUCAAAACAUGAUGAAUAUAUCCUUUGACAAGGACUUGACAAAAUCAUAAAAGUAUAUUUUUUUUUAAAGAAUUGUGACACAUAGAAAGCAUUAAGCUUCUUCCUCUCAAAUUAAAAUUUAUGCAUUUUCAACCAUUAUGACCAUAACUAUGUUGUCCAAAUAAAAACUUGUGCAUACCCUAUUAAAAUUUUCUUUUCAUCCCUUUGGUGGUGAGUAAUUGCUUAUGUCCCUAAAGAGUUGCUAUGAAUUGGUUAGAAAAGCAUAGUAGUUUAAAAAAAAAAAUUCAUUCUAUUAUCCUAAACCAUGAGUGAAUCAACAAACUUUGUUUUGGUCUGAAAUUAACUUUUGAUUGUCGUGAGAUUAUCAUAUAUAUUUUUAAAAUCUCUUAAAUAUUCUUGAAGAGAUCAUUUUUUUUUUCAACUAUAAUAGGAAUCAAUUACUCCUUAAGAGAAGUUUAUACCUUAUAUAUCUUAUUAGCCCCAAGGAUCAUAAUGAAAAUGUCUUUUGUCAUGGUUCUGAGAACUCAUGAAGUGACAACUAUGUUAUUAUUAAUUGAUUACUAGUCUUGUAGGAUAAACCUUUUGCUUUCCUCAUCAUCUUUAAUUCUUUAGUAGGUCUUUCUCCACCUAAGAGAUGUCGGAGAACACACCAUGAACUAAGAGGAUGAUUUGAUUUUGCCAUAGUAGAAAAUUUAUGGUGUUUAACUUGAUUGAAAUCAAACUAGAAAUAACACCAAUGAAAGGGUAAAACAUUGAUGAAAGGUUCGAACACCGAAGCCACAAGCUGAGAGGAUGAUUUGAUUUCCCCAUAGUAGAAAAUUUGUUGUGUUUAGCUUGAUUGAAAUCAAAUUAGAAAAAAUGUUGAUGGAAAGCUAGAGCACUAAGGAUUUUAUUUUAUUUUAUUUUAUUUUAUUUUUGAAUGAAUGAAUGAAGAGGAAGACAUUGUUUGUGUGGAUAGGUCAAGUCUUUUAGGGUAUUCAACCACCUUUGGAGAAAACCCAAGUUUGAGCCUCCUCCUCUAACUCUAAUACCAAGAAGAAUUUUAUAAUUUGAAAAUAGACGCAUUGUGAAUUAUGGAAGAAAUAAAUAAUAAAUAUCCUAAAAUUAAGGAAAAUAAAUAUUAUUUCUUAAAUUAAGACAAUCAAAUAUUAUUAAAAUUUGAUUGCUCUUGAUUUAUUUAGAAUAAAUAUUAUAUCCUAAAUUAGGAGAAUAAAAUAUUUUAAUAUUUGAUUACUCUUGAUUUAUGGAAAUAUUAAUUAAAGUGGAUUCUUAUCAUCCUAUGUCCUACCAUCCUACGUCUUGUCAUUUUGUGCCUUGUCCCAUCAUCUUGUGCCUUGUCCCAUCAUCUUGUGCCCUACCUUUCUCCUCUUUUAUUUUUUUCCCUUAAUAAGUAGGUGUGGAUUAGUCUAAAUAAUGUAGCAAUCUCAAGUAUAUAUAUUCUCCUUAAAAAUAGGGUCUUGGAGUUGUUUGCACCUAGGGAUGACAAAGUUUGAUACGAGUCCUGGCAUAACACAAACCUAACACGCUUUUCAUGGGUUUGGGUCAAUUAUAAAUGAGUUUAGGUAAAAUUUGUGUCGACUUACAUAACUCAUUUAAUAAAUAAGUACUUUUUUGGUCAACCUGCAUAACACGAAUUUGACCCGAAUGAACCUAUUUAAUAAUCCCGCUAGUAACUUAAUUAUAUUUUUAAGACGUUUGACCCAUAUUUGACUCAUUUUAAAUUUGUUUCUAAAUAGAUGGGUCAAUUGAGCCAAAAACAUCUUUUCUUGAGAUAUUAAUCAUAUAGACAUAUAGAAGACCUAACUUAAUCUGAUUAUUAAAUAGUAGGACCUAAAUAUUAAAUAGAUUAAGUGGGUUGUACAAUGUGUUACAUGUUUAAUAAUUAGAUUGUAUUUAGGUUUAUAUUUUUGAUAUGAUUAUUAGUAGUGUCGGGGUUGGGUUGAGCUAUGUAGUAGAAUACCUAGGCUUUGACACAACACAAACACUAUCCACCAACAUGAAUUGUCACCCCCAUUUGCACCUCAAUCAUGGAUAUGCCCAUCUUAAGCUUCUAAUGCCUUUUAAUAGUUUUCUCUUCUUUCUGUUUUUUCUUUCUUUUCCUUUUCCUUUUUUCUCCCUUACACUUUUUUUCCCACUUUAAAAGUUUAGGAAUUAAACCUUGAGUCCCGAUAAAUUGUAAUUGUAAAAAACGUUAAUCUUUUCUCUUUGAUUUAAUAUGUGAAGAAAUAUGUAAGCUUUAGGAAAUUCAAAGUACACUCAUAUUAGAUUUGAAGUUAAACUAUACCCAUCUAUUCAAUAAAAGUACUAAAUAAGAAGUGGGUUUUGCAAAUUUUAACUAUGUUGGAUGAGUAAAAUGCUAUCUGAAAUUAUUACUUGGUCCUCAUUUCAAGUGUCCACUAGCACCCUAAUUUUGUGUCAAUCCAACACUUAAUACUAUUAAGAAAUCCAAAUCAUUUCCUCCCUUUGCUUUAAUUCAUGGAGUUGGAAAAUGUAGUGAAAUAUUAACAAUUAUCUUAAAUUUAAUGAUUGACAAUUUUAACCAUUCAUGUUAUCUCAUACUCUAAUUACUUAUUUUCCUCCUAAAUCCUCUUCCAUUUAUUUUAAAAAAAUUAUACUAAUUAUGCAUAAUUUAAUAUUGAGAUAUCUCAUUUGCCUCUUUGUUACUAACAAUACUAAAGUUCAUAUAAAGCCUCUUAUCCUUAAAUCUUUCCACUUUUCUACCAUAGUUUCUUACAUUAUUUAAAACAUGUUUCAUUUCUUAUAUUGGUAACAUUAAAGUUAUAAAAACAAAACCAUGAAAGAAUUUAUUAGAUGAUAUUUAAGUUCAUUGAGUUAAUUCAGUACUUCAUAAUGAGGCCAUGAUUGGAUUCUUUCAUGAGGAAAGUAUUUAAUCCAUUUCAUGAGGAAUUCUUUUUCAAAUUUUAGCAACCUAAUGAAAAGAAUUAAUAAAAUUACGAUAUUGUAUAUUAAUUUAUUCCAUGAAUGUGAGUCUUUCCUAUUCAGUAUUCCGAGAUUCAUUUUCCUCUAGUUGACCCAUUUCUUUAAGGUUCACUUUUUUAUGGGUCUCAUUAGAUGUCUAAACUAUAAAAUAUAAAAGUACAUUGACAACAUUUGCUUUUAAUACUUCUUUGUUCUUUACUUUGUUAUUAGAUUUCUAGCAAUAUAGUUCAACCACUACAACAAACAAGUGGUAAAGAAAAUGAUCAAUAAAGCAAAGUAGAUUGAAUGAUAUUGUUGUUAAUGCAUAUCUCACAGUUUGUGUUGCUAAGAUUUUGGCUAAAAAUAGACCAAAUAGUCACUUUAGUAAAUUGGAUGGAAAAAAGUGAUAAAGGUAUUCAACAAUCUACCUAGAAGAACCUACCUAUAUAAGCAACCUAAGAAUAUAUUAAGUUCUCUUAAAAAAGAUUGACAACUUUGGAAUGCCUUGAUUCAGAAAAAGAUUGGCCUUGGGUGGGAUCCUAUGAGGCAAACCACUAAUGCUAAAAAUGAAUGGUGGGAUAAUAAAUUGAAGAUACAUUUUUAUUUAUUUACUAAGUUUAUUUAGUUAAUUUAUAUUUUGGUCAUGAAAUAUAAUAAAUUGAAUUGUUUUGUAGGAGAACCCCAAGGAAAUAAAUUUCACAGCAAAAUGAGAGAAGAAGAAAGAAGAUAAGAGAUGGAACCAAAUCUUGUGUUUUGACUAUGCAGUUAGAGGCCAUUUUUAAAGUUACAUCUAGGGUAGAUAAGCCUGGUUAUAGCAUUGUUAAAGUAAUAAAAGUUAUAUGUGGCAUGCUUGAAGUGAAGAAUGACCUUAAGUUGUAUAUGAAAGUCACAGUUAUUCAAGUUGUCAAGGGAAAUAAGGAGAUGUUUCUAGCAUUAGAAAACUCAAUUGACCAAAUUGCAUGAAAUAAGCAGAAAUAUGUUUCACUAUUUGAGUUAUUUCUUAUUCUAAUGUUGAAACAUAUUUUGCUACCUAAUAUUGUUUUAAAUUAGAUUUGUAUGUUGGUAUUGAGUAAACUUUUUGAGUGAGGAAGACAUAUAUGUCUAUCACAUGGUAUAUUUAAUUGUUUCUUUCUCUAAAAGUUGUGACUAUUAGAUGACCUUUAUAAUGUAUUUGAUUUCACAACACAACACUUUUGAAUCUAAAAUUUUGUCUCAGUCAAGUUCCUAAUUAGAUGAGCUUUAUAAUGUAUUUGAUUUCUCAACACAACACUUUUGAAUUUAAAAUUUUGUUUAGUCAAACUAUUAAGAAUAGAAAUGGAUUGAAAAUAGGGGUGUUAUAGGAGGAGUCCUAUCCUAGGGUGACCCACAUGAGCUAGAUUAUUAUUAUUAUUAUUAUGGAAAAAUAGAAUUAUAUGAUUACAUGUAUUUCUACUCUUACUACUUUUCAGGCUAUUAUUUUUCAUACUACUACUACUCUUGAAUUUGCAUGUUCAAAUAAAUUUUUAAAUAAAAAAUCCUUUUAUUUUAGUAAACAUGAGUUAGUUUUAGCUAUAUUAACAUAAAAUAUACAUUAUUAGUUUUUUUUAAUGUAUUUCUUAUUUUUAUUUUUUGUAUAUAUGUUUUCUAAUUAUAAUAAUAGUUGCAAUCAUAAUAUUAAAGAUGAAAGCAAUGGUGAAAUGAUUUUAAUCAAUUGGUGUUGGUUGGAUGUGUUGUACCUGUAAUACUUACUAACUACAAAAAAAAUAAAAAUAAAAAUAAAAACCUUGUAGUACUUUUUCAAAAUUAGAGUUGAGCAAUUUAGAAUGGAAAAACAUGUAUGCAUUAAUUAUUAGAAACACUUAUUAAAAGGCAUGGUCUAAGAGAAGGUUUAGAUAUGCCCUUAAUAGAGGCUUUAGCAAUGUUUCUCACUACAAUAGGUCAUAGACUUGGCAACAUGACGACCUAAGAAAGAUUUUAGCACUCCAAUGAAUUUAUUUCUAGAUGUUUUGAGAUUAUAUUAGAUGUUGUUUGUCUUAUAGCUAUGGAUAUUAUAAAACCAAGUGAUUCAUAGUUUAGGGUAAUGGGUACAGUGCCUCAAUCAAUAGAAGCAAGAUAGACUAUCACUCAUAUGACAUAAACUCCAUUCAAACCAGGUUUUCCAAACUCAAAUAUCAAAUUUUGAAGGUGAGAAUUGGGAAUUAGGAAAAUGUAGGAUUGGCUUCCUUACAUUUAAAAGGAAGGGCCUUAGAAAGGUUUCAAGGGUACGAGGCUAGUAACAAGGAAAUCAAAUGGACACAAUUUUAUAUAGAUGUUGUUUCUAGGUUUAGCCCUAGUGUUUAUGAUAACCUUAUGGGGUAAAUAACCAAAUUGAAAUAGGUUUCUACGGUUAUGGCCUACAAAAAUUAUUUUAAAGUAUUGAUGACCAAAACGAGUGGGUUAUCAAAGGAAUUUUUUAUCUAGUGUUUCAUUAGUAUCUUGAAAGAGGCAAUUAAAAAUCAAGUCACCAUGUUUCAACCGAUCACACUAGCCCAAACCAUCGAGUUAGUCUUGUUGCAGAAAUGAAUAGUGGAAGUAAUUCUCAAGGAAGUCAAGGACUCUAAUGAAUGUGGGGAUAGUACAAUGAACUUUACAAGAAUCAUAAUGAAUCAUAAUAACAAAUUACCACCUCUUAAGAAGAUUUCAGUUGUAGAAGUGCAAGAGAGAUGAAAAAAAGUUUUGUUAUUAUUGUGAUGAGAAGUAUGAGUCUGGCUAUAAAUAUAAAAUGAGACAAUUUUUUCUAUUAAAUGGUCAUUAAAGUGAAGGGAAAGCAACAUGUGAAGCUAAAAAUGAUAUCAGGAGGAUGAUCUUGUGGCUUUAAUCAAUGCAAUAUUUGGUUCAACAUCUCAUCAAACCAUGAGAAUCCGUGGCAACAUAAAAAAGAAGGUCGUGACCAUACUAAUUGACUUAGGAAGCACCCAUAACUUGAUCUCGUAGUGGCCAAAAGAACAAGAUGCUCAAUACAAACUACCAAGCCCAUGAAGGUGGCAAUAACAAAUAGAACUAGAAUUACUAGUGAUGCAAUUUGUAGGCAAUGUUAGGAUAGACCCCUUAAAAGCAUGACAUAAUAUAAUAAAUUUGGAAUUAAUUAUUUAUUUAAUGAUAUUCUAGUUUCACUUUUAUCUAUCCUUAUUCCAUGUAUUAUACUUUAUAAGCUUUUUUGUCUACAUCUUUUGCAUUAUACGUGACUUAGGUGCAUUGGGAGUUGCACAGAAGAUCUAAGUCAUGAGUUCCUUGCAAAUAGAUGACUUGUUCACAACCAAUUCAUGGGUCUAGGCAAUCCAUUAGAGGUUUUAGUGCACCACUUCCUAAUUAGAGGGAUAACUGGUCUUGGCUAUUGGGAUGUGUUUCCCAUGAUGAGUGUACUAAUAUGUAUGGAUGCACAUUGGACAGGACCGAUGGUGAGUUAUGACUUAAGGCUAUCAAGUAGUCAUGACUUCACCAAGUUGUUUCAUUAUGUUAUCUCUCAACCUUGAGAGAAUAUUGCGUUUGUGUUGAAGUUAGUAGUGCCUUUGAUCUACGGGUGAAAUCGUAAACUAAUCAUAUACUCCUUAUGGAUUGGAUCACUAUUGAUGGAUGCUAGUAGCAAUAAGUAUUCUAAAUAGAGACACCAUGAUAUCUCUUAGGAAUAAGACAGUGUGUCUCCUCGGGUGAUCCUAAGGAGGUGUGUUCAUGGAAACUAUGGUCAUAAUAGUUCCUUAGGUGGAACUUGAUAUAGGCUCUUUGAAAGCUAAGAUAUGUCAAUUGAACACACAAUAGGAGAAUCUGUAACUCAAGAAUGGUAGAGGUAGUCUUAAAAGGAUUAUAGCUUUCACUUUGUUAGACUACAAACACCAAUUCAUGGGGAAACUAAACACAAUGGAUAGUAGGUCAUGGACCCGAGCACUUGGUGUCUUAUUAUUAUUUACAUAGGAUAUUUGAGUUCAGUUGAUUCUUUAUAGUGGGAUGUUGAAUCAACUUUAGAAUUGGAUUAUGAGAGAACUGGUAUUUCUAUGGGUCCUAGUGGUCCCUAUUUUGAGCUCAUAUACCUUGUUGGCACAGAUUAUGAGGGUCAGAUUUGCUUUAGGUUCACUUUUGUACAUAAGGGUGUUUUGGUAAUCACACAAGGUUGCAUAAAGGUAAGUGAGCAAGGUAUUUGGAUUGGGCUAAUUGAUUAAUUAGUAGGCCUUAUUAGGUUAACUAAUCGAUUAGGACCCAUUUUGGGAUAGAUUAAGGGACCCAAGCCCUUAGUGAACUCAAGUCACUUAAGCCUAGUAGGAAACCAUAUAAAUACCCCCUUAGGGGUUAAGGUUCCCAUUGUUUUUUCUAGAGAUCCAUCUUCCAUCUCCACAGAGAGAGAGAGAGAGAUUCAUAGCAUGUACUCUUCCUUCUAUCCCCACCGAAAGUGUGUCAAGAUCAAGUUUCGAGUCAUCGAGCGGAAGACUUCAAGUUUAUGAGACUUCUAUGAUUUCGUUCUUCAUCUUCACCACGUAGAUUUGAUUUAGAAACAUCCGAAUCUAAGGUAUGGAUUUUGUUUGCACUUUUUGAAUCCCUUUAAAGUUUAAAAAUGUUAUUUUUCCAUUGUGCAAAGGAUUUAGAAAAAGCCUAGGGUAGUUAUGCAUAUUCCUAACUUGAUCCGAUCAUAGGAAACGAAUAGAUCCUAGUUUUUCCCAUUAGGCAAUUGACAUGGAACAUGCAAGGGAAGAAAUUUUAGAUAAAUUUGAGGCUCAUCCUUUUGAGUGGGUGCGAUAUGGUAUUGGGAAUUCAAUGGCUAGAUGAAUUGGGAAUUCAAUGGCCAAUUGAAUUGGGACUUAUAUUAUGGGAUUUCAAGAAUUUAAAAAUUGAAUUUAUUGUUGAUGGAAGAAAAUUCGUGUUAAGAGGUACAACUAUAGGUCCUAAGAAGUUAGUUUCAACAAAUCAAAUUCAAAAUGAUUUAAGGCAUAUGUCUCAAGCAUCUACAAUUCAAAAUUUCACUAUACAAGGGAAUGAGGAAAAUAAAGUUGAAAAUGAACAACAUGGCAACUGUCCAACUCAUUUCCAAAAAACGUAACAUAGAAAGUUGCUUACUUUCACCAAAAGUUUCCAUAGUUUCAACCUUGAGGACAAGGCUUCUUUUGAUGGAGGAGAGAAUGUUACAACCUUGAAUAAAGGAUCCCUAGGAUCCCUUAAUCUUUAGUUUCUAUUUCUACUUAGUUUUUACUUCUGUUUAGUUUCUAUUUAAAUUGGGGAAUAAAGUAUCCGUAAGAUCCCUAAAUCUUUAGUUUCUAUUUCUAUUUAGUUUCCUAUAUAAAAUAAGGAAAGUGUAAUGGAGAAAAAAAAAUGAAAAAAUAAUCUCAAUAAGAAAAAUUUGUUCUCUCAAUUUUGCAUCUUCUCUUCAUAUCAUAAAAUUCUGCGUGUGGAUUUUCUCCUUCUAAAUCUCUAUAUAAUACAAAAUCAAUUCUUUUUUACUCCAAUUCCAAGUAUGUAUUUACAGAAAUGGGUAUGCUUUGACUCUCAAUGAACACAUUUUUUCAAUUUUUCUACCUACCUAAGUGGAAAUAACAUAAGGCAACUAAACUUGCUUUGAGAUUAAUUGUGGUUUUGACGAUACAAAACUAGGUAUAGUACAAGACCUCCUAAACAAAGUUUCUAGCAUUAAUGAAUUCAAAAGAAGCUGGGUAAAACAAGUUUCUACCGACCAUCCCAAACAUUCCUUUAGAUGUAUUGUAUGGUAGAGGAUUAUUCUUUAUUAUUAUUAUUAUUAUUAUUAUUAUUCUUUUUUCUUUUUCCUUUUAAUGGUUUGGAGCAUAUUCAAAUGGAAUUAUAGAAGUAGAAUUUCCUAAUUUAAUUUGUUGAACAAAUUUGUUUUGGUUUUGCUAUAUUUUGUGUUUUGAAUACUUAGAAAUUGAAAUAUAAUAAGAUAACAAUUAUAAUGUGUUUUUAAGGGAAAAAUGUUUUUAUCUUCUAUAAUUUAAAAAAAAAAAAAAAAACCAACACCAACAACUACAAUAAUAUAGACAUUGCAAUUUUUUUAAAAGUGUCUCUGUUAGGACAUUGAGUUUUAUUUGUAUGUUGCCAAUUUUGUUCCAAUUUAUUUUUUUGCCUUAGAAAUCUUUUUAGAUAGUGACUUACUCUCUAUUGAAGAUCAAGGAUUGCUACUUGUCCAACUGGAAAAUCACAGGCAUGUCUAAAAGAUUUGACUUGUGGCAAAUUAGGGUUCUAAAGGGUAUAAAGAGGAUCGUUAUUCUUUUUUUGGAAUAAAAUUGAUUUUUAUUUAACUUUGUCAAAAAGGCAGCAUUGCUCGAGCAAGGAAUAGUACUCAAGCGCUGGGACUGCUCAAGCACUUGACUAGCGCUCAAAUGCCCAAGUUGCUCAAGCGAUGGUUAAGUGCACUUGGCCUCGAGCUCUCGAGCAUUCAUACCAAUUCUGCCAAAGAUUGGCAUAAUAUUUUUGGAGAUUUCAUGCAAAUCCUUUUUGGAAACCUUGAGAUACCAACUCUCUUCAACCUUUAAGCCUAUAUAUACCCCAUUAUGGCCAUUCUAAAGUUAGGAGAUUGAUUUAUUAUUGCCAUUGAUACAGAGUCUCCUAGAGAGAAAGCCUAAUGAACCACACAAUUCCUAAUCUCUCAUUUGAAGGAUUCAUUAGAUAAUCUAGGGUUGAAAACUUGCAUCCCUUCAGUAAGGCUCAAGAGUACUUAGUGGAGGAAUUAGAGAUUAUUGCAUCACAGUCGUUGAUGAAGUUGUAGGUAUUAGAGGGUAAGUCUUUAGGAUAAAACGACCAGGUAAAUUUGUGUAACUUGAUCUUGUAUAGUGGAUUUUGAUUAGCAGUCUUAGACCUCGUGGUUUUUUAUCUCCAUAGUAGUGCGGGGAUUUUCCAUGUAAAAAUCAUUGUGUCCAUUGUUAUAUCUUAUGAUUAUCAUGAUUGUUUAGAUUUUGUUUAUCUCUAAUAUUAUCUCACAGGGUAAAAAUUGAGUAUAACAUAUAAUCUUUAUUUUAGAAUUCUUUUAAUUACACCCAUUCACCUCCCUCCUCUCUUUGGGUGUUACCAUACUAGACUUGGCUUUUUCAGUCUCAAAUUCUACAUUAGCAUUUUUUUACUUAAGUUAUAAAUGGAAAAAGUUAUAAACCCAAGAUAACUUGUUAAAAAAGUGAGAAAUAAUAAAGGACUCGUGUUAGAGUAUAAAUAAUUAAUCUAUUCUAGGCUUAAUAUAGCUCCAAUGUCAAACAUGAAUACUUAAUUAUUUAUUAUAUUUUGAAAAUAAAGUAAGUAUUUUUUAUAUAAAAAACGAAACAACUUUUCUAGAACAACACAAGACACUAAUGCAUAUAGUUGGUAACAAGUUGGAGAAAGAAAAUAAUGUGGAGAAAUAAAACAACAUGUAGAAAGAAACAAAUUGGAGAGAAAGAAAAUGACUAACAAAAAAGAAAAUAGAGAAAUUAUAGAAUAUAAGAUAAUUAAACUUAUUUUCAUAAAAAUAAUAUAUUUUUGAAAAAUAGAAAAUUUCAUUCAUAUUCUCUUUUUCACUUAUUUUAAAAAUAAAAAUAAAAAUUAAUAUUUAUCAAAUGCAAAUAUUAAUAAUUAUAAAAUUAAUAUUUAUCAAAUAUAUAAGAUUAAGAUUGAGAUAUAAAAUUUUUAUAAUCUAAACUAUUAUUUUCAUUUUAAACAAGAAAGUUCGAUGUGACAUAAUAAAAUUUGUACACAAAAUUUAAAUUAUCUCUAUUCAUAUAGAAUUAUAUAUAGGUAUAGAUUCAUUUCAAAAUUCAAAUAAUUAUUUGAAUUUUACAUUUAAAUUUUAUUUUUAAAUUUAAAACUUAAUUAUUUUGUAAUAGGGUAUGUGUCAUAAAAUUGAAGCUUAUAUAUAUAAAUGCCUCCACUUCCAUACCUCUCAUAAAAUUGAAGCCUACUUUUUUGUUUUCUUUUGUGUGUUUAUAAAUGUCUCCAAUUCCAUAUCUAGCUGUGAUAUAGUUUUGUAGAUGAUUGUGAUUGAAGUAUAAUAUCUUUUGAUUUUAAUUUUAUAAGAAUUAAAAAUCUUAUCUAAGUUUGAUUAUUAUUUUAGUUUUCUAAAAGUUCAGAGUAUUACAAAGAAACUGUUGGGUAGAAAGAUGUGUCACUCCAUACAUAUAUAUUUAAAAAAAAAAAAAAAAAACACAAAGAAAGACAACAAUAGAUGAAAAUUAUUAUUCAUCUGUUAUGUCAGUGCAAGAUAUGAAAGAGAAGAUAGCAGCGUGCGUCUUCACUGUGACUGAGUAUCAAAUUCUCUUUGAGAUUGAUAUAGUUUCAUUGUUCGUGGAGAGUUGAUUCAGUAGUGUCUUCCAUUUGAAGACAUACAGAAAUGGUUAGAAUAAUCUAUUCAUUUCAAGAGAUACCUUGCAUCUAUGACCCUUAUACUCCCAUGAACUUUGAUCCGAUUAACACAGUGGGCAUCUAUUAUUUAUAAAAUAUGGAUGAAAUUAAAGAGAAUUAAAAAAAAAUUCAUGGGAAGUGUAUUUUGGAAAAAAUAAUUCUCGUUUGAUACAUUGGAAAAGUGUCUACCUUACAUUACCCAAAAAUGUCAUUAUAUGUGUACAUGGGUCAUCAUCCAUAGUAACCCAAUUCACAUGAGGAUGAUACAUCAUUCAACCAAUAAAGGUACUUUAAGCUCAAAACAGUGGUACAUUAUAAUCAAAACAAUAUUACUUUAAUAUCAAAAUACAUGUAAGGACAUUUUCAGGUAAUGUGAGGUAAAUACUACUAUAAUACAUUAAAUAAGAAUUAUUUUCCCAAAAAUGUACUUCCCAUGAAAAUGACUUAUGUAGAUUUUCUUUUAUUUAUAUUUUAUAAUAGUGCAUGUUUACAUAAUUCCCUCAUUAAUUAAUAUAAUCAUCUAUACCUAAUAAUUAAGGAAAUAAAAAUUAUUUACAUACUAAGCAAGGAUAAUGGAAAUUAAAGAGUAUGUCAAAAGAGAGAAAAAAAAUAUUAAAGAUAAAUUAAAACUCUAAAAUACAAGCCUUCAUUUGCACAUAUAGGCCAAUAUCUUAGGAGGUAUUUGAUUAAAUAAUAAUAAUAAUAAUGAUUAAAAAAUGGAAAAAAUUAUGGAUCCCAUUUUUUAAGUGUUUUCAAUAACAUAAUUAUAAACCUCUUAAAAUUUAAAAUCAUUUAUUUAAACCACUUUAUUCAUUUAGCAACAAGGACUUAAUUAAUCACUAAUAUCAAACACAAUGAUUUAUAAUUUUUAUAAUUUUUUCUUCCAUUACUAUCAUUUUUUUUGUUAAUAAAAUGAAGAUUUCUAUAGAUGAAUUUUUUUAAUAAUAAAACGUAACUUUUUUUAAAUUAAAACCAUUUAUUAUUAAAAAAAUUUAUUUUAAUUCAUCUAUGGGAUUCUUUUAGAAUUUUUAGAAUUUUUUUAUUUCAUAUUUAAAGAUAAAAAAAUUAUUAUGAAAUAAUUUUAUUCAUUAUAAAAAUUUUCUUUCUUUUCUAAAUCAUAAUUUUUGUCAUGUCCAUUCAUAUAAUAAAAUUAAAAUUAUAAAUAAAUAAAAAAACCUAUUUUAAUUGACAGCAUCAUGGAAUCUCUCCAUGCACACUCAUGCAGCCAGCCAUCAGUUCCCACGCCAGCCACGUGUCUUCCAACAAGUAUAUUCCAUUUCUUUGGUUCUCCACGUUUGUGUUCUAUUUUUAUUUAUUUAUUUUAUCUUGAUUAGUAGUUCACAGAACAAGCAUGCAUGACAAGUAGAUAUGUCAUGGCUAUGAUCACUUCUAACACUAAACCCUCUUAAACCAAGUGAGGUACGAAUGCAGUAUGCAAGUCUAAAUACUGGUGAAAGAAAAAAAAUGAAGGGAAAAAUCAUCGAGAAGGGUGAACCAUGGGUGAUAACCCACUUUAAGGUUCAUCCUUUGGAUAAAUAUUAGAAGUUAAAAGAGUAUAAAAUGUCAACAUAUGUCGUCAUUUUUUUUUUUCACUUUUAAGUUAAAUAUAUUCUUAUUGUUAUAAAUGAAGUAAUGAAUGUCACCAUAUUUAUUAUAUUAAAUUUUCAUUAAAAGCCUAUAAAAAUGUUUCCUAUCCCCUAUAAAAUGUAUCCCAAGCAAAGAAAGAAAUUUUCUUUCUCUCUUAUUUCAUUUUAUUUUAAUUUUUUAUUCUCCAUAUCUUUCAUUCUUUCAACUCUCUUAAUUCUCUUUUAUGAUUCCUUCCUCUCCAUUAUAUAUUAUUAUCAAAAUAAUAUAUAGUUGUUCUCUACUUUUAUUUGCGUUGCAUUUAUCCUCCUUUUACAACACGUUAUUAGCACGAAUUGCUUUGAAGGUAAUUCUCGUAUCUUAAACUUGAAGUUAUUUAUAUAGAAUAAAAUUUUACAUAUUUAUAUUGCUAUUGUUAAAUUCAUUUAAUUUGUGUUAUAUAUUAUUACAAGCUAUAAGCAAAUUAUUUGAUUUUUAUUAUAAUCAAAAGUUAUACCAAUGCUAUUAAUUUAUAACUAAUUCUAGUAAUAUUAUUUUUUCCAUAUAUCUGAAGUUAUUUAACAAUGUCAAAUCUCACAAAACUCGAAUUUGUGGCACUUGACAUUUAAGAAAAGAACUAUCUAUCUUAGAUCCUUAAUGCUGAAAUACAUCUUGAUGCAAUGAAUCUUGGAGUUACGAUUAAAAAAGGAAAUCAAGCAUCCUUGUAGGAUCACACAAAAGCGUUGAUUUUCCUUCGCCAUCUUCUCUAUAAAGGUUUUAAAAAUGAGUAUCUUAUAGUAAAGGAUGCUUAUACUCUAUGGAGUAAUUUGAAUGAAAGAUAUGGCCACCAAAAAAUUGUGAUUCUCCCAAAAGCUUGAUAUGAUUGGAUGCAUUUGAGGUUGUAGGAUUUUAAAACUAUUAGUGAAUAUAAGUCUACACUUUUCAAAAUCAGCUCUCAAUUAAAGCUAUGUGGAGAAAAAAAUCACAGAAGAAGAAAAAACUUUACUACAUUUCAUGCCUCGAAUGUGCUCGUACAGUAGUGAUACCAAGAGCAUAGAUUUACAAAAUAAUCUGAAUUAAUAUCAUGUCUUCUUGUGAUUGAAAAAAAUAAUGAGCUUUUGAUGAGAAAUCACUAGUCUCAUCCAUUUGGAUCUGAACCAUUUUUUGAAGUGAAUGCAAUAUCGUCCCAAACUCGUGGAUGAGGACGAGGAAAUGGUCGUGGUCGUGGAAGGAAUCCCCGAUAUAAUGGUUAUUAUGGUAAUAAUUCCUCAAAUUCUCAUAAAAGAAAAGCUUCAUUGCACCACCAAAAGUGGAAUAAUACUGAGGCAAAACAAGAAAAUGGGAAGUGUUUACAAGAUAAACCUCCAAAGAACCAUGAGAAUAAUUGUUAUAAAUGUGGUAUGAAGGGCCAUUGGUCGUAUACCUAUCAUACACUCAAACAUUUGGUCUACCUUUACCAAACAUCAAUAAAAGAAAAAGGAAAAGAGAUAGAGAUGAACUUUACCAAUGGUGAUGGAUUGGACUUAACCUACUAUGACAUUGAUUUCUUUGGAGGUCUUAGUGAAAAAACAGACUAUUUAAUAAAUUAUAAGAAUGCUAACAUUGAUUGGUGUUACUUAAUAUAUCAAAUAAUAUAUUAUUAUGUCUUAUAUUUAUAUCUAAUUAUUAUAUUUUCUUUUAUAUUGUUAUUUAUAUUAUGCCUUAUUUUUUUAAUACUAGUUAUAUCUAAAAUCCACAUGUUAUUUGGUCUCAAGAUGAAUGAGGAUGAUGUAUGUCUUGCAGAUUGUGAAACCAUGCACACAAUUCUUCAAGAUAAAAGAUAUUUAUUUAAAUAGACAUUGAUAAAAGCUAAUGUAAGUACCAUAUAUGGUACUACAAACUUAUUUAAAUGAUGCGUCAAAUAAUUGAACACUCACAUGGGCAUCCACUAAAGAACCUAAAGAGUCUUUUGCCCAAUGAAUUCUCAUGUGUUGCUUGCUGACAAGGUAAAUUGAUAGUCAGACCAUCUUUUACUAAAGUCAUAUCUGAGUCACCAGUAUUUUUAGAAAGAAUACAUGGGAACAUUGUGGGCCUAUCCAUCCACCAUGUGGACCAAUUCGUUAUUUUAUGAUCUUAAUAGAUGCUUCUACUAGGUGUCACAUGUUUGUCUCCUUUUUACAUAUAAUGUUGCCUUUCCUAGACUCAUUUCACAAAUGAUCAAAUUAUGAGCACAAUUCCAAGGUUAUCCUAUUAAAACAAUACGUCUUGAUAAUGUUGGCGAAUUUACUUCUCGAACAUUCAUUGACUAUUGUCUAUUGGUAGCGAUAAAUAUUGACCAUCUUAUUAUUCAUAGUCAUACCCAAAAUGGUUUAGCAAAAUCCUUCAUCAUACAUCUCCAAUUAAUAGCUCGAUCAUUACUAAUGAAAACCAAAUUACCUACUUCUACCUAGGGACAUGCUUUUAUGCAUGCUGCAACUUUUGAUCGUAUUCAACCUACAACUUACCAUGAAUACUUCCCUUCACAACCCAUACUUAGUGUUAGGAAUUUGAGGCUAAUCCAAACUAUGGUAAUCACCCUAGAGGGGUGGGAAGGGGGGGGGGGGGGGGUGGUAAAUAGGGUGAUGGUCUCUUUUUCACAAAUUUAAACUAUGCAAAAAUAAGAGACAAUUAUAUGCAAAUAUAUAAUAAACAAAAUAAAGACAAUUGCAUAUAAUUUAAAAGAGUUAGGGAAGAGAGAGUGCAAACACGAGAGUUUAUAGUGGUCCGACACUUCCUUGCCUACGUCCACUCUCCUCAACCUCCUAACCGAGUGAGGGUUCCACUAUCUUGAAGCUUCAACCAAGCUUCCAAUCUCUUUACAAUUGGACUAUGGUUCCAAUUCACCCUUUUGGACUUUUGGCUCCAAGCACCCUUUACACUUCUCAAGAGUUAUCCCACUCUUGAACAACCUCUCAAGUGAUACCCCUCACUUGAGAAAAUUCCUCUCAAAAGAUAUACAAAGAUUGAUCUCACAAAAAUCCUAGUAAUAAAACUUUAGGCUCAAAGAUACAAGAAAAACUAGGAUUGAAUGGUGCAUUAAAGAUAUGCAAGUUAUGAAACAAUGGUGCACUAAAAAACACUCUUCCAAGGCUCAAAUAUAUUCAAGAAUGAUUUGGGAAGGUUAAGCUCAUGAAACAAUGAAGAUUGGAGCCUUUUUAUAGAAGAAAAAAGCCAAACUAGCCAUUGGGGGUUCGACCGGUCGAGCUAGGGGUCGACCGGUUGACUAGCCGUUAGGAAAAGUGACUGUUGGGCCUCAACCGGACCUUGACCGGUCCUCGACUGGACCUCAACCGGUUGAGGUUCAACCUUGAUCGGGAAGAGAAGGUCAUUGGGAGAGAGAGAAACUUUUUGGCCUCCCUCAACCGGUCCUCGACUGGACGAGCACAACUAGUCGACCUGUUGAACAAGUUAAGCCAUUUUUUUGGCUCAACACUCAACCUUUUUCAACUUAAAACCUUUUAACACAAGUUUGAAAAUCAUUUAACACAAGGUUUUAGUUGAAAACAUGAAAUCAUCCAAUUCUUAAGAUAUUUAAAACAAUAUUACUCUUGGAUGAUUUUGGUGUAUAAAUAAAGAAUGAAAUGCAUGAAAGUCCUAGUGCACCAACAACCUUACAAAGAGAUCUUAAGAAGCUUUGGUCUUGAAAAACUCUUCUCUUAGAGGUGGUCUUCUUCUUCAUGAUUUCUCCUUGGCUUGAUUUGUCUUUGGAUUGCCACUUUGGAAGUCGUCUUGCCUAAUCACUCUUGAAAUAUGAUCAUUAGUUCUAAACCUUGUUUUGUUAUCAUCAAAAUCAAGAUUAACCAAACCUUGGUUUCACACUUAGAAAAAAACUAAAUAUCUCGCUUACGAAUCUUUGGUUGUGCAGUAUAUGUACCAAUUGCACUUACACAAUACACUAAAAUGGGUCCCCAAUGAAGACUUGGGAUUUAUUUAGGUUUUAAUUCUCCAUCUAUCAUAAGAUAUUGUUAGAAAAAUUAGGCUAAUUCAACCUAGGGUAAUCACCCUACAGGGGAGAGGGGGGUGAAUAGAGUGAUGGUCUAUUUUUUCAAAUUUAAAUUAUAUGAAUACAAGAGACAAUUAUAUGCAAAUAUAUAAUAAAACACUAUAAAGACAAUUGCAUAUAAAGUAAAAGAGUAGGGAAGAGAGAAUCCAAACACAUGAUUUUCAUAGUGGUUCAGUGUAACCCAACCUACGUCCACUCUCCUCUAACUUCAAUCCCAAGCUUGAGGUUCCAUUAUUUCAAGGCUUCCAAACUAAGCCUUCAAGCAAUACAAUUGGAUUAUAGUUCCAAUCCACCCUCUUGGACUUUUGGCUCCAAGAACCCUUUACAAUCUUCAAGAGAUACCCCACUCUUGAACAACCCUUCAAGUGAUACCCCACACUUGAGAAUCCCUAAAUGAUAUAACACAUUUAGACUUCUCUUCUCAAAGAUUUACAAAUGAAGAUAGGAUUGAAAGGUGCACUAAUGAUAUGGAAGUUUUAUAAUAACGGUGCACUAAAAAACACUAUCCCAAGGCUCAAAUAUAUUCAAGAAGGGUUUUGGAAGGUUAAACUAUUGAAACAAUUAAGAUUGAAACCUUUUUAUAGAGGAAAACGACCAAACUAACCAUUAAGGGUUUGAUCAGUUGAGCUAGGGGUCGACCAGUUGAUUAGCUGUUAGCAUUUAAUGCUUGGCAGGUGACCGUUGGACCUUGAUUAGACCUCGAUCAGUUGAGCAAGCGUUCUUGAUGAGAGAAAAGGUUUUUGCACCCUUCGAUUGAUUGAGCUAAACAGGUCGACCAGUUCCUCAUCUAGUUCAACAAGUUGAGCUGUUUUUGGCUCAACAACCAUCAUUUUCAACUUAAAACCUUUAAAACAAGUUUGGAAAACAUUUGACAUAAGGUUUCAAUUGAAAACAUGAAAUCAUCCAAUUUUAAAGGAUUUAAUACAAAAUUACUUUUGAAUGAUUUUGGUGCAUAAAGUAAUAAUGUAAUGCAUAAAAUACCUAGUGCAUCAACAACCUUACCAAGAGAUCCUAUAAAGUUUAGGUUUUGAAAAACACUUCUCUUUGAGGUCUUUUUCUUCUUAUUGAUUUCUCUUUGUCUUGAUUUUGUCUUUCUAGUUGCCACUUUGGAAAUCUUCUUGUCUAAUCACACUUGAAAUAUAAUCAUUAGUUCCAAACCUUUUUUUUUUAUCAUCAAAAUCGAGAUUAACCAAACCUUGGUUUCACAAAUAUCUUGAACCUUUGACAGGCGAUGUUUUAAUAGCCCGCUUUGCAGAUUGUCAUUUUAAUGAGAGUGUUUGCCCAUCAUUAGGGGGAGAAAAGUCAAUUCCUGAAGAACGGUGAGAAAUUACUUGGAAUGCAUCUAUUAUGUCCCAUCUUGAUCCUCGUACAAAUCAAUAUGAACUAGAAGUUCAAAGGAUCAUUUAUUUGCAAAAUCUUGCAAACCAAUUACCAAAUGCAUUCAUUGAUACAAAGAAAGUGACAAAGUCACAUAUCCCGACUAUAAAUACUCUAGCAUGGAUUGAUGUCUCUGUAGGACAAUUAACAAAUGAAUCUAAGAUAUGCUUGAAAAGUGGUAGACCUGUCAACUCAAAUGAUGUAACUCCCUAAAAGAGGAGAACACAAGAAAAACUUUGCACUGUAGAAGAGGUCCUUGAAAUGAUUGAUUAGUCUAAAAUUGAUAAAUCUAUAGCCCUAAAAGAGGCACAAAUAAUGUCAAAAGCCCUUGAAAAGGUACAUAUUGAACAAAAAGACCUUGAAGAGGCACAUAUUGAACAAGAAGCUCCUGAAGAGGUACAGGUACCUGAAAAUUGUGAGAUCCCAGUAAGUUAUGUACACACGGGAGAAAAAUGGGAUCUAAAUAAUAUUGCAAUUAACAAUAUUUUUGCUUUUCAAGUGGCCCAUGAUAUCAUAAGAAAUUAUGAAGAUCCCGAACCACGAAAUGUGGAAGAAUGCUGACAUAGAAAUGAUUGGCCAAAAUGGAAAGAAGCUAUGCAAGCAAAGUUAAACUUAUUAACAAAACGAGAAGUUUUUGGACUUGUACUCCAAACACUUGAAGAUGUAAAGCCUGUUGGGUAAAAAUGGGUAUUUGUAUGAAAACACAAAGAGACUAAUGAAAUCAUAAGAUAUAAAGAGCAAUUAGUAGCACAAGGUUUUUUUUAGAGACCAGGUAUUGACUACAAGGAAACAUACUCUCUCGUCAUGGACGCAAUCACAUUUUGUUUCUUAAUUAGUUUGGUAGUCUCAUAAGGACUAGAUAUGCGCUUCAUAAAUGUUAUUACAACAUAUUUAUAUAGAUCUAUAAAUAAUGAUAUAUACAUGAAAAUCCCUAAAAGAUUUUAAAUUGCCUAAAACAAAUAAUACAAAGACUUGUAACAUGUACUCAAUCAAGUUACAAUGAUCCUUGUAAGGAUUAAAGUAAGUUAGAUGCAUGUGGUACAAUCACCUUGGCAAAUACUUACUAAAAGAAGGUGUGUGAAUAACCCUAUAUGUCCAUGCAUCUUCAUUAAGAAAUUAGAAACCGAAUUUGCAAUUAUUGUAGUGUAUGUUGAUGACUUAAAUCUUGUUGAAACUCCUAAAGACCUCAUAAGAACAAAAAAUUACUUAAAAAAGGAAUUUGAGAUGAAGAAUCUUGGAAAAACAAAAUUUUCUAUUGGUCUGUAAAUCGAGCAUUUUCCAAAUGGAGUUUUAAGAUAUCAAUCAACAUAAAUUAAGAAAAUUUUGAAGCAUUUUUAUAUGGAUAAAGUGCAUCAUUUAACUUCUCCAAUAAUUGUCUAAUCACUUGAUGUGAAAAAUGACCCAUUUCGGCCUUGCGAAAAAAGUGAAGAAGUACUUGGUCCUAAAGUACCAUAUAUUAGUGUUUUUGGUGCACUUAUAUAUCUUGCCAAUUGUACAUGUCUAAACAUUGCUUUUUAUGUCCAUUUAUUAUCAAGAUACAGUUCCACUCUAACUUGAAGACAUUGAAAUGGUAUCAAACAUAUAUUGCGCUAUCUUUGCAAAACUACGGUCUAUUUUACUCAAGGGAAUCAAGUAACAAUUGCUUGGAUAUACAAAUGCAGGAUACCUUUUAGAUCCACAUAAAGGUAGUUCACAAACAGGGUAUAUGUUUAAUUACAAUGGUACUAUUAUUUCAUAGAGAUCUAUCAAACAAACAAUGAUGACCACAUUAUCAAAUCAUUCAGAAAUACUUGUAAGUCAUGAAGCAAGUCAUGAAUGUAUAUGACUAAGAUCUAUGAUACAAUAUAUUCGAGAACCAUGUGGACUCUCCUCUAUCAAAAGUGACUCGACAAUAUUAUUUGAAAAUAAUAUUGCAUGCAUUGCACAAAUAACAGGAGGUCAUAUUAAAAGAGAUAGAACUAAACACAUUUCAUCAAAAUUCUUUUAUACACAUGAACACCAGAAAAGUAGUGAAAUUGAUGUGCAACAAAUAUGCUCAAGUCAUAAUCUAGCAUAUUUAUUCACAAAGUCAUUGCCAACCUCAACAUUGAAGAAGUUAAUACACAAGAUUGGAAUGCAUCAACUCAAGGAUAUUGACAUGAGGGCGAGUAUGCUUGUAAAAGGGUGUUAGUGUACUAUACUUUUUUUUUUCCCUUCGUCCAAGUUUUGUCCUGUUGGGUUUUACUAGCAAGGUUUUUAAUGAGAAAGUCCUAACAUAUCAAGAUCAACUUAAAGAAUUAUUAGAAUAUUGUACUAUUUUUCCUUUGCUAGGUUUUUCCUAUAGGGUUUUUUUACUAGCAAGGUUUUAUUGAGACAUAUUCUUUUAAUGUGGUAGACAUCCAAGGAAAAGUGUUAUAAAUGAAGCAAUGAAUACCACCACAUUUAUUAUAUUAAAUAUUCAUUAAUAUUAUUUAUGACUUCCAUUAAUAUUCAUUAAUGGAAGCCAUUUGGAAAGCCUAUAAAAUGGCUUCCCAUCCCUUGUAAGAUGCAUCCCAAGGAAAGAAAGAAAUUAUCUCUCUUAUUUUCUAUGUCUUUCAUUCUUUCAACUCUGUUAAUUCUCUUUUCUAAUUCUUUCCUUCCCAUUAUAUAAUAUUAUUAAAAUAAUAUAUAGUUGUUCUCUACUUUUUAUUUGUGUUGCAUUUAUCCUCUUUUUACAACACUUAUUUUUUUUGUUCUUUUCUCUAUUUUAUUUUAUUUUUUCUUUUCUAGUUAUUAUAAUUAUAAUUGUUAUUAUUAUUAUUAUUGUUAUUUUAUAAAAAUAAUAUAACCUAUCAAAAAAUGAUAAUAAUAACACAUCUAUAAAUAAUAUAAUAAUUAAUUUACAAAUUAUAGUUUCAUUAGUUAUUAUUAUUGUUAUUAUUAUAAUAAUUAUUAUUUCAAAAUUUUAAAAAUAUUAUAUAUAACUUAUACAAUAAGAAUAAUAAUAAAAUAAUUUUACAAAUAUUGUUUCAUUCAUGUAUUGAAGACAGUUUUCUUAUAUAAACUUUCAUAAAUUUUCAAUUGUUUUUUACAAUAUGAUUAUUAAGAAAAUAUUACAAUAAAAAAUUAGUAUUGAUAAUUCUUAUAAUGAUCAUAUACUAGAUGCAUUCUUAUUAGCAAUAAUUCUUAUAAUAAAACUCAUACACCUUAUAAAAAAAAUGUCUUAUAAGGUUAAUUUAUAGUAGAUGAAAUGUUAAAAAAUACAUAAAAUAUAUAACAACCAUUCAUCAAUGCUUGUUUAAAAGGAAAACUUUAAAAUAAAGUUAGGUUAUGCAGUAAUGUAUAAGACAUUUGAAGUAUUCAUGUUGUAAGAUCAUUAUAUUUUUGUGGUACGUAUACGUUGGCUUUUAUUUUAAUACAUAAUAUCAGUGUACUAGCAUUAUACAUUUAAUGAAUCAUUAUUAAGCAUGAUUUUUAUAAUAAAGCCUAUAAGUUUUAAGAAUUAGAUGAAAGAAAGAUUAUAUUCUAAGAUUGGUUUAUAAUCAAUAACAUUAUAAUAAUAAAAAUAUGAAUAAUGAUACAUAUGGAAUAUUAAUGAUAUAAAACUAAUAUCCUAAAUAAUAUGUUAAUAAUGAUGAUAAUAAUAAAUAUAUAAUUAUAAUUUUUUAAAUAAAUAAUAUAGUUAGUCUUAACAUAUAGUAAAUAAAGCACAAAAGGUAGAAAAGAAAGUAGAAAAGUAAAGUUAUAUGGGAGUAAGAGGAAAAGACAAAAUGUUGUAAUUGGAAUUAUGAAAUGAUCAAAUUAUCAAACUAUAACUUGUGAAUUUGACAAGACUUUGGGACUUGGUGACCCUUAAGGGAGCUUAUCAUCACUUCGAGCUAGGUGACCUUUUUUUUUUAAAAAAAAAUUGAAAAUAAAGCCCAUGAAAAAUUUAUUUAUAAAGAAUAAUAACAAUUUUGUAUUUUUUUAUACAAAUUAGAUAUUUAAUUUAUUAGAAUAAUUUUGAUGGUAAUGACAAACAAAAUAACUCCUUAAAUAGGUGAAAUAAUUCAUUUUCUCAAUUUUAUAUGCAAAAUUAUUUUAAAACAAAAGGGACCAUACAUUAUUUUUGUUCAUCAAUCCACAUUUUGACUUUCACUUUAAAAUCCAGCUAUAAAAAUCUCUCUUUAUAUAUAUUUGCCUAGAUUGCCUAAUCAUCCAUUCGUUCAUUGUCUAUAACUUCUUGCCUGAUUAUCAAUUUAGAUGUUCAUAUUUGCAUAUAUUUAUUCAUUCCACCAUGUAUUUUGUUGGCUUAUUUGUAAUGUAUACAAUUUUGAUGAAAUGUUUGAUUAUUUGAAAACCGAAUUUCCCCUAACCCACUAAUAAAAAGCAAGUAAAAGUCCGACCAAGAGGGGUGUUCUUGGCCGGUGGCCUUCCUGAUAAGUCACCUUAGCCGUAGACUAGAUUUAGAUUUUGCAAUUAGUACCUUUCUUUUCCUUCUAGGAAUCACUAUCAUCUUGACCAAUCUAGCCAUGUACCAAAAAGUCAAUUUUGCCAAGUUUAAGAAGUUUGCUUUAAGCCUGUUCAUCAUAGUUGACAGAAGAGAAAAUGUCCGCAGGAGCAGAGAGAGAGAGAGUGAAGGCAAUACAUUCAGUCAUGAAUUUGAUGCAAAUCCCAAAGUACGUAAUUGUCUUGAAUACUCUCACCAUGAUUGUCGAUCUAUCGGAUCAGACGAUUACUAUGUUUGCCAAAAAUGCCUGGGCCGUAUGUGGAAUAAAUCAGUUCCACAAGGAGGGGAAACUGCAAAUUUCCGUACAAGGUCACUGGAAAACAGGCUAAUGCAGCCAAGGCAAUAAGAAUCCAUGCCUUCUUUUCACCAAAGAGAAGAUAGAUUGCGCCACUGUAGGCUAUCAUCAUGAAUGUUACGGAGAGGAAUAGAGUAACAAGGCCAAAUAUCAACCUCCUGGGAAGGGCAAAAAGAAAAUCAUCUUCUGCAUAUCGUGCCGUGAGAAUGGAUAGGCAUAUCAGCACCGAAGCAAUGGAUAGGAAGAGGGAAAGCGCAUCCGAAACUGCAAAAACUUUGAAGGCAAUUUCUUUGGAGAAAUUUCGUAUGCCAGUAUCAUCAUGGUUGCCACCCGGGAUGGUAAUUGCAGCUGCAAACACUACAGUAGCAAUAAGCGCUGCCGCCAAUGUGUAAAAUUUUGCUGUGCCUUUCAUCCAUUUCUCCCCUUCUUUUAUCAAAUUUUCAUGUUCCUUUAUAAAUGCCAUUUUCGGUUUAUCUUUGUUUUCGUUCUCAGAUUCACUGAAGGCUCUCGGUGCAUAUUUUUCAAUUUCCUGUGUAAAAAUCAUAAAGUUUCUAAGAUACAGAAAAAGAGUGGAUAUGUAUAAGAAAAUUAAUUCCCCUUCAAAACAAAAAUUAUUACCUUAAACCAAUGUAACUCGCGUUGCAUUUGUAGAGCUGCACCAGAAACGAGACUGAGCCGGUGCGGAGGGGCCAAUUUUCCAGCCAAAUGCAAGAUAUUAUCGUUAUUUGUAUCAUCUCUGGUUCGUAUUAUAAGUUGUCUAUGCAUACCAGUUUCGCAGAUGAGGUUGAAAAUCUUUUCAUAACGAUUUAAUACUACCAAUUUGAAUAGAUCCUCAUCCAGAUACUCGAGUGCAAAAGGAUAUGACUUUAUAAUCUCUUCCAGAAUCUCGGGAAUCCCAUAUUUUGCCCCAUUAAUGAAUGAUUGUCUAAAUAUUUCCUUUGCUCUUGACACUUUCAAAACUUCAGUACAUACGUGGUUAAGCAAUUCAAGAGUCAGAGUAUGCAUUGUUUUUGUUUCUUGGAUGUGCUUGAUGGGUGGUACUGCAAUUAAAAUUAUAUUAAGGACAACAUAACAUUGCAUUCAAGACUUUUGCAUGCUUUAGUGGUAGUUUUGUUGUGUUCCUUACCUAACCAUAUAACCAGUUCCCAGAAUAUUGCAUUCGCCUUUCGGCAAGCUGUGUGCAACGUAAAAUUGAAGCAGUUCAGAUGCAAAAGCAGGACUAACAGAAGAAAAAACAAAAAAGCAACCCUGAACCAAGUACCAAUUAAACACUAAUCUAAAUUAAAUUCAUUGUGAGAAGUUGCCAACUCAUAUUGGCUGGUGUAAAGUUUUUUUGGGAUUCAAUAGGUUACAUAUGUUUCCCUAAAACCGUCGCACUUGAAUUUAAAGGCUAGAAUCAAGAAGCCUAAUGAAACUUGGUACAAGCUCAAUUACUCGACUUCUUAUUAAUUAACCAGGAGCAUCAAGUGACAAGAUAUUCACAAAAUCUAUCAAAGCAAUGAAAAUUGUGUAUCCUGCAUAAAUCUCUGAGUAGUAGAGUAUUAUCCAUUGGAAUUUGAUUGUAGAGCUGAUUUCAAAUCCAUUACUCGAACUUAAAAGGAAAAAAAAUGAAGACAAUUUUGUGAGGACAAAUUAAAAUUGUGAGGACCUUGAAGUCAACAAAUUAGCAUUUCUCGACCUGGUGCAAUUUGGCAAAUUGGUUUGACCUAACUCGAAUCUCGGUGAAGUUGAGAAACCAUUUUUAGUACUCAAGUUAGGAUUUGGUUGAGUUUCUCAACCAAAAGUUAAUUUUGGUUGAGCUCAAUUUUGGGUUGAGUUCAGACCAAUGCUUCAACAAUCUAAGCUGAAUUAAACUCCAUUAAUAUUUGUAGAAUGUAUUACUAUAUAAUAAUAUCAAAUUUUUUUUAUAAAAUAAGUUUAAGGGAAAAAUCAUCAAAAUAUAUUAAGCUAACUCUCAGAAAUUUGCCUACCCCCUUGUGAACACUAUUUGGAAGGAAAUUUAUUUAGGAAGCCUCUUAAGCAAGCCAGAAAGGUAUCCUGUCCUUUGUAGCCUAUGCAUUCAAAAGUACAGGGCCUAAUGAACAUGAGACCCAAGCAUGGUGCCUACUACUUCAUCACAUUUACGGAUGGUUAUAUCUACAAGUCCAAAGAAUUGCAUUGAUCUAGAUGUUACAUGAAUAUUGUAAAAAAUUGAAAAGAAAAAACUAUUACAGCAUUAAGGAUAAAUCAUGGACAUGAGUAUCCAUUGCAGAUUUUUAAAAAUCUCUAUGAUGAAAAGGAAAUCUAAAGAAUAAUCAAUAGCUUCAAGGACUCCAUAGUAAAAUGGUUGAACUAAAAAAAGUAACCAUAAACUUUUGGAUAUGGUUCACUCAAAAAGGCACAUGCCAACUAUCUAACAUCUUUUGGGGUGGGAAAGGAGGGUUGCUGUUUUGAUUGCAACUUAAAUCUUGAAUAGAGUGCCCUCAAAAUCAAUUACUUCAAAUCCAUAUAGUUAAGAAGCCAAACCUAACUCAAUUGUGAUCCUAAGGGUUAGCAAGUUUAGUUCAUGUAAAUUCUCAUAGAUAUUGUGCUAUAAAGGAAACAAGUGCACUUUCAUUAGAUAUUCUAAUAAAUCAAAGGUUGUGUGAUGCUUAGUGAACAACUCAAUGGGAAUAUAAUUGAAAUUAAGUCAUAAGAAGUUAAUUUCUUAUAGGAUGAUAUUUUGAGUAGAGGAGCAUUGAACAGAAGUCUCAAUUUAUUAGAGGCAAUUAAACCAAAGGAAAAUACUAUGAUAUCUCAUAUCGAAGAGGGGAAAAAGUUCUUGAUAUUAUAUAUAUAUAUAUAUAUAUAUAUAUAUAUAUGAGCUUCUCUUAAUUAUUUAGACACAUUUUAAUGUUAUGAGGGCUCUUUAAGCCCAAAGUGGAUAGUAUAUAUUUACAUGGUUGGGAGUGAGUCAUUACAAAUGGGAUCAAAGUGUAUCCUCAACCAUGGUAUGAGAGUUUGUUUGUUUGGUCCUGUAAUCCUAUGGGACACAAUGAGGACUUUAUGUCUUCAUGAGGGUGAUUUUAAUAUCCCACAUUGAAUAGGGGAAAAAUUUCUUAGCAUUAUAUAUGUAAGAGCUCUUCUUAACCAUGCAAACGUGUUUUAAAUCUCUGAGGUCCCUUUUAGUUCAGAGUAAACAAUAUCUACUUGAUUGGGAGUGAGUUGCUAUAGAUGUUAAAGAUUUUGCUAAGGAUAUGAGUGACUUGACAAGAUAGUAACUUUGAGUAGUGACUUGCCACUUACUAGAUUAUGCCACUAAGUGGGAUUUUACCAUUUCAUAUUAAUUCACUAGAUUUAGAUGUGAGUGGAAAAAAACUUGGAACUAUCUCAUCAUUGUAAUUGUGGGCAUUAAGGUGAAGUUUUCAUGUUUGCAUCAUAAGAUCAUGAUGUUGGGAUAGAUUCUUUAAAAGCAUGAUAUGAUGCAACCAUAAAUGGAGUUCAUUAAUACUUACAUUAUGACUUCGAUUUUCUAUUUACUAUCCUAUUUAUGAAUUAUGUAUGUUAAGCAUUCAAACCUACAUCACUUGCAUGUACAUGACUUGAGUGAUUUAUGAGUUACAUAGAAAAUCUAAGUCAUAGAUUCCUUGCAAGUUAAUGACUCAUUCACAACUGGUUCAUGGACUUCAAUAAUCCAUUUGAGGCUAUAGUGUACUACCUCCUUAUUGGAGGGAUGACUUGCCCUAGUCAUUAGGAUGGGUUUCCCAUGGUGAAUGUACUAGUGUGUUUAGUUAUGUUGGGAAACCUAGAUCUCUCCAUCCCAUAACCCUAGAUUGUAUAGGUGCAUGCAAAAUAUCCUAGGGUUCUAAAUCCUAUGCAACAUAAGCAAAAAUCAAAAUUUUAACAUUCUAUAAUCUAGAGAAAAGUCAUUAAAAACUUUGAGAAAAUAAAAGGCUAAUCUUAACAGAGAAAACACCUAAGAGGGGGAGAUGGGUGAAUUAGGUUUUAAAAAAAUAUUUUUCAAACACAACAAAUUCAAGCAAAGAAAACACAAAUAUAAAGAGAGACGGUUAGAAAGAGCAAACUCGGAUUUUAUAGUGGUUCAACACUUCCUUGCCUACGUGCACUCUCCUCAACCUCUUAACUAAGUGAAGGUUCCACUAUACUUGAAGCUUCAACCAAGCUUUAAAUCACCUUUACACUUAGAUUCCAACUCCAAUGGGCUAUUACACAAUCCCUUCAAGUCUUAACUCACUUGAAGCUUUUAACACUCAAAUAAUAAGUUUGAAUCUCUC
rnacentral:lncRNA from 1 species